GGGCCCUUAUUGAUUCUAAAAGCAAAGUAAUAUUUAAAGAAAAGGUCAGAUUGCAUAAAUAUUGAAACAAAUAAGAGUUCAACAAUGGAGUAUUAAACCUCCCAAUUCAUCACAAAUCUGAAUAUUCUCAACUUCAACUAGAAAAUAAGGAAUUUAGCCACUCAUGGUGGACUAAAUACACAAAAGAUGGAAAAGAAAAGAAAAUAGAAGAGCUGCAGAAUUUCUGGCGUGAGGAAGAGGAAGCUCAAUAGCUGAUCAGAUGAUCCUUUUGCUGGCUUGGAGGCUCUCCUUUUAUAGUUGCAGAAUUUUAUCCAUCUAGGGUUUUGAAAUCCCUCUUUGAUUUGGUGUUGGACUCCUCUUUUGAUGUUGAAUUUAAUUGCAAUUGGAUUUCCUUGGAUGAGAAGCUCUUUCGUGGCUCUUGGAUAAGUGCUGGAAGUGAUUGGAUUGGAUUUGGACUUCUGAAAAUUCGGAUUUCUGUUUGCUGUCCAUUUUCCCGCUCUGCUGUAAUUUUCUGCUGUCAAAGUGAUUUGCCCGGCGAUUUGACCAGUUUCUUGGGCAAAUCACUGGGCAAAUCGCUUCUCUGUGAGUCAGUCCUCUAUGCCUCUGCGAGUGAUUUGGCCAGUGGUCCUCGAUUGUCUUGGUCAAAUCGCUUGCCCAUGUCACUGCUGUCUGUUGCCUCUGGGUAUCUGUUUUAGCUUGAUCUGGGCAGUGAUUGGAGCAGAUUUUUGGGCAAAUCACUGGGCAAAUCAUCCUUUUGCAAAUUUUCUGCACUUUUUCUUCCAUUUUCCAGAUUCUUCCUUUUCUGUAAAAACAAGAUAAAAACCAUAAAUUAAGCUAGAAAAUGUGUAAAUAAGCAAUAAUAAUUAUGAUAAAAAUGUGGCUAAAUUAUGCUUGAUCAAAGCUGCAUAUAAAGUGUGGAGGCUUCCGCAUGAUAUUAUCUUGUAACCAAGUAUUUUAACAUUUAUUUUGAAUCUUGUGCUGUUGCGCUUAGGAUGUAUACAAUGGAACCUUGAAUUGUGUAAAGAUGGAGAAUAUGGAGUACAGGUUCAUGAGAAGCAUUCAAAAGUAUCGGAUUGGUUGUAAUCCCUCUGUUCUAGCUUUACCAGAACCUUGGAUAAGCAAUAGAGUGAGCAUGCACCUGCUUCCACCAAAUGCUGAUUGCCUUCCAAUUAUGGAUAAUGAGUUUGUUAGACAUAUUUAAAAGCAUAGGACUUUGGCUUUUUAUGUUCUUAUUUCUUUUCGUUUCUUUCAGUCUUAAUUUCUCGUUAUGCUGUUCAUAAUAAACAGUGAAAUAUGCAUAAACCUUUUUUCUCAACUUCUUUUUACUUGUAUUGUAAAGAAAGAUCAUCUUCUCUUUGAAGUUUGCAAAAUAUGUAUGAAUAAAGGACAAGUGGGGCAAAAGGGUGAUGCAACAGUACACAAUGGGUGCUUGUGGGGGCACGUAUUUCUGUUUCUUUUCCCUUUACUCCAUUUUCAAAUAUUAAAAUCCUUUGUCUCUUGCCUGACAGCCACAUACCCAAUUGUUAGAAAGAGGAUAUACAUUGUGGUAUGUGUUUGUAUAUAUAUAUAUAUAUAUGCUUUAGAGAUAUAUUCAAUAGGUGGAAGGACUUUGCUAAUCCCAACUCUGUAUCUCUCUCUUAUAAUUGUUUCAAUCCCGUCUAUUUCUCCUCCCUUGCUAUCUUGUUAGACUACCUUCCAUGGAAACUUCCCAGCCUCUUUCUAUCGAGAGCUUUUCUUAUAGCUGGCUAGUAAACCUGAAACCAUCGCUUGAAAGCCUGGACAAUUCCCUUAGGGCCUCUCUUGAUGCAUCUGACGAAGCUUCUUUCAUUGAGAUGGACCCAAGAAUGCCUCCCUCUAAGAGGUUCUCUAGAAAUUCUCAGGACUUCAAAUUUGAUUUCCCCAUUUCACAGCCUCCUCUUACUGUUGUUCAUGCUGAUGAACUUUUUUCCAAUGGAUAUGUCUUGCCUCUCUUUGUUGAUCCACUGAAAAUUGAUACUUACGAGGUCUCAGAUUCAACCUCAGCCAUUCCUGCCUCUUCCCAUGCACCAAAAGUUGUGGUCUCAGCUAGGAAAACUCGUUGUCCUUCAUUGAAAAGGUGCCGGACAUUAUCAAAGCAAAUAUUUCAGAAGUAUUUCGAAUUUCUCAGGCCAUUGUAUAGAAGAAUCCGGGGUCACAGAUCAAGUUCUAGAGCUGAAAGUAUGGAUACAAAGGUGAAGGUUGUGAAGAGCUGGUUAUAUUCAGCUGAAGCAUCUCCUAGAAUUAGUGUAGCUUACUCUGUCGAUGAUUGGCGGAGGAGGUCUUGCGACUCUGAGAGCUCAAUUUAUGAGGCAGUUCUUCAUUGCAAAAGAUCCAUUGGCAAGUUUAUCUGAUCUUAAUUACUUUUUGUCUCAUUAAAAUGAUUUCUUUAUCCAUUCAUUUACCAUUGUUUCAUUAUAAUGAUCAGCUUCUGAUAUUCUUCAUUGCUGUGUAAUUUUCAGAGGAAUAAAUGGAGACCAUUGUACAAAAGAAAAGUAAAAGAAGAAAAGUUAAAGAAAGAAUAGAAGACAAAUGAGAAAUGUCCAUAUUCACAUGGGAAGACAGAAACCAAGAGGAAUAAACAAAGAUCAGCAGCCACUUGUUUUUUUUUUUUUUUUCCCUUUCUCUCUUGCUGUGAGGAUAAUGUAAAUUAGGUUCAUAAUGGAGGGAAACUGUGUGGAUGGUCGGCCAUGGAAAUUCUUGCCAGCCGAGGGAGAAAAAGAAUUGAAGACAAAUUAAAUUUGAUUUUUUGUCUUUUUCUUAUAUGGAGGAGAGGUACUAACUACAAAUAUUCUCGUCCUUGUAUCUGUAAAGUUAUAUUUAAUGAGUUGAGGAUUUUAUUCUAUUCAUGGAAUAUCUCCAUUAUUUUCUUCUAUUGUUUCAGAGUUGCUUUAGUUGUCUUGAGCCCAUAUUUCCUUUUAUGAAUUAUCUUCACUGGCUUUGAGAAAUGAUCUUUCAACAGAAAGGACAUUUGCAAAAUUUCUCCAUCCUGUAAUAGUUUAUGCCGAAGAGGCAAGUGAUUGUCUAUUUGGUCUUACUGAAUUGAUUAAGGUUGGAAACUAAGAGCAAGUUUCAAGUCCUGAUAACCAACUUGUUUUCAAAUGAAGAUUGUUCUUGUGAAACUCAAUCCUAAAUUUGAACAAUUCAAUAAUACAUUUUCUGAGUUGGUAAAAAAUGAAAAUUGACUUAGGACUGCAACUCAAAGAAACUGAUUCUGAGAUUGGAAUAGAAAGAGUAUACCAUGGUCUUACUUUGAACCACCUGCCCUAUGAUAGAUAUCAAUUCUACAAUCAUUCCAAGAAUAUUCAUGAUCUAUUUCUAAUAACUAAAUCAAAUCUUGAAUUAAAUAUUGCCUAGAAGUUUUACUUUGUUCUUGUAACAACUGACAUGGCAUCAGAGUACUGUUUAUUUCUCACAUGGCAGUCUUCCUUUUUUCAGAACAUCCUUAUAUAUCACAUGUUAAAAUUUUAACUAAAGUAAGUUAUCAGUAUAUGAUACUAUUUGAUAUCAGUGUAUGAUACUGUUUGAUUAGCAUGACUCAUGACAACUGGUUCUUUACAUGUACAUCCAAAACAUUUAAGCAGGUUCUUGAUUCCCUCUGAAAAGAAAAUAAACAGUUUUGAUUGUGAAACACUUAGGCUUCCUUUGAAAAUAAUCAUUUGCAAGAAUAUAACUCAAAUGAUAAUCAUGUUACUUUUGGAAUAUGAUAUUUAUUUCUUUUAAAAAUGAAUUCUUUUCUUUAGUUCAAAGAAUUGUAUUCUUUCUAUUAUUAGGUUUCCUAACAUGAGAAUUUCAAAUUCUAGUUUCCAAACAAGCUGUUACAAGAUUUGGAUGAGAAACUCUUUGACACCAAGUAUUGAUAAAUAUCAUUUAUGCAAACAGGUAAUCUAACAAUGAAAUGGAACUGAGAUGAAACAAGUUGAUGCAACUAAUCAAAAACACUCCUCUUCACGUCUCAUUUAUUCAGCUACUUGAUAAACUGUUAAGUCAGAAUCUUUGCUUUUCCCAUCAAUUAAAUAACAAAGAGACAUUCCUUUCUUUUAUUUCUCAUCAUCUUUAAAUACCCAUUUGGCUCAAAUGCAACUAGGAACUAAAAAUUUCCAUUCUUUUCUUGUGCAUUGCCAGAGUACGAACCGAAGCAAGUGAAGAUAAACAAAUUCUGAAGAAAGGUAACAUUAGCUUAUGCUUCAAUCCUAGGGAAACUCUGGCUCCAAGGUGCCUUCAAGGAAGAGCUUGCAUGUGUUUUGUCAGUAUUAGUUGUCUGGUAGACCACUCAAGCGUUGAGCAUACUAAACUUCAAAUUCAAGGCGUCAAGCUAAUUUUUGGAACACAAUCAUGGCUUUGAACUCUGUUUCUGCCCAUAUCUUUGCAGCAGUACUGUAGGCUGUAGCAUACAGUUUGCAACUGUGUUCCAUAAUCAGGGGCUGAUUUUUUUUUUUUUUUAUAAAUUGUUAUUCUUUUGUAAUUCACCAAAAAUAUUAAUUAGAUGCUUGAACUGACAGUGAUUGGAUGGUGGGAAUUGUCUAGGAAAAUGCUAACUAACUCGCACCAAAAGAUAGGCAAGAAUUGCAGCUACAUGAUUUGCCAUGUAAAAGUUCGUCUCUCUUUCUGAAUUUCACUGCAGCUACGAGUACCUGCUAAAUCAAGUAACUUUUUCAUUAUAGUUCUCAAUCAAAAAAAAAAAAAAAACAAAAAAAGGGUCGUUCUAUCCAAUGCAAAGGAAGAAGAGUGAAUUUCUGGUCCCCUCAGGAAUGGGGUCCAAAAAUUGAAGGGUUUCCCAAGAAACAUAACCAAGCAGAGGUGGCCUAAUUUAAGCCGUUUGAAACAGUAAGAGAAAUGACUCAGAAUGAGAAGUUGAUCACAUGCGAACAAGCAGGAUAGGGAGACAGUGAUAAAAUGUGCUAGGAGAAGUGCCAAACUAUGAUAACAUUGAUUUCCUACUUUUAUAUCUACCGCAUUUUUUUGUCUUCGUCAUUGGAUUUUUGUGUUCCAUGCUAAGGGUAGCUUUUAUGAAUUUUGUUUUUCUCUUGUAUCUACAUCGACAUGGUUGUGGGGACCCAGACCACAUUCAUCCUACUUGUUGCUGCUAUGGAUUCUUCAAUCGCUGUAGCGACUAACAAGACACUACCACUCCAUUUCACCAAAAGCAUUGCAUAGAGAACUUCAAGAUCAGGAUAUGGGUAAUGGGUUUCCUAGCUUCUACAAUUAUGUCCUCACAAUAUAUUUAGGGGACAGGAUUUUAAAGUGGAAACUGAUCAGCCGUAGAGAUCAUUCAUCAGUAAGUUGUGCUUUGAUUCAAUGAAAUAAUAAACACCCAAUAAAUGGAAUGUUGUAACUGAUUCAAAAAGCCCAAUAUCAAGAAUCAAGAUGUAAACUCCAUAAGCAAGCAACAGGGUUUGGAGGAUUUUCUGGAAGAACUGAACAAGCCAUGAAUUGAUUGAAAAAAAACAGGGGAGGGGACCAAGGCCUUCUUCUCUGCCGUAUGUCGGAUGAAUUCAGACUAUAAAGUCACUGUUAGAAGCUUCAGGACAAUGAAUACUUCAUUUAACUUGUUCCUUGCUACAUACAUUAGUGAUUAGGCGGUGGGCAGGGUCCAUAUCAGCUUAGUUGUUCUGUUUCAGGCAUUCUGGUUACUACUAAGAAUGAGCACUCGUACUAGUUUUGAAGGCUGCCCUUUUCGAGGCAGAGAUUCUCAGUGUUUUGUUAACACUUUUCACACGAAGCAAAACAUAACAGAGAGAAGCCAUAAUGGCUUUUGGCCAUGACCCUCAACGCUUAGCCCCACAUUUCCGUCUCCCUGUGUAUAUUCAACAGCAACGACAAGUCAUUUGUGAAGAAGCCAGUGAAGGUAAACGACAAGCCGUCUCCUGCUCUCUCUCUCUCUUUUUUUUUUUUUUUUCGUGUGUGUGGGGAAAUGAAAGCGCUUUUAUGCUCAACAUAAAAUAAAAAAAAUGGUGUCAUAAUAUAACUCCAGUUCCUACUUUUAUCCAAUAAAAGAUUUUCAAUGUAAAUUUAAAUAUAAAAUUUAUUAUAAAUUUAAUAAGAAUACUUUAUCUAAAUAAAAUUAUUUUCAUAUAAUUAAUUAAGAGAAUUUAGUUAAUGUAAUUAAAAUAAUAAAUUUUACAUCUCAAUUUUAAUAUAUUCUCCUUCAUAUAAUUUGAUUAUUAAGUUAUUAUUAAAAUUAAUAAAUUUUCUAAUGCAUUAUUAAAUAGAAGUAUAUUUAGGAGUUAAUAAAUAAAUUAUCAUCUAAAAAAAGUAUAAUUUUAAAAAAAUAAUAAAAGAUAAAUUUAUUUUUUAUAAAAAAUAAAGAAAAAAUAUCAUUUGUUUAUUAUAGAUUGUAUGUAUUUACAUUCUGCUGAUGUAGCCAUGAUAUAUGACUUUUUUUUCAAUUUUUUUUAGCUGGAUCUAAAUGAGGCGAAAGAUUUUUAUUUUAUUGAAAAUUUAUUUAUAUCAUAUUUAUAUAAAUUUAUAAUGUAAAUUACAUCUGAAUCUAUAUAAAUUAGAUCUUACAAGAAUUGCCAUUCUCUCAUUAUAUGAAUGAGAAACUUGCCCGCCCACCCAAUCUGCUGGCCAGGCUCUGGUCUGAGUCAAAAUCCUGAUAGAGAUUUUGAGGAGCAAGAGUAGAUUGAAGCUGACCAAGUUGCUUUUGAUUUCUAAUUCUUCAUUUAUUUUAUAAGAAAAAAAUUUUUAUAAAUUUUAUUUUUUAAAAAAUAAAAAUUUUAUAAAUUAAAAAUAAAUAAAUUCUUUUUUUAAAUAAAAAAUUAAAUAAAAUUAAAUUUUAAUGAAAUUUUUUAUUUCAAGCACGGAAAAAGUUUUGAUUUUGGCUUUUCAAGAUUUCAGCUCUGGUUUAAUCCAUCUUUCUUAAGUUGCCGUCGUUCUGAAACUCGGGCCUUGUAAUCCAGGUUAUUAAACUAUUGGCUCAGGCCAGUCCCAAAUAUAAUCUAUCGAACUCCUGGUCCGAUUUAAAGUCGAACUGACACCGGCCAAGCUCCCCACAAUUGACCGCUGCUCUGCUUCUAUAGUAAGAGCAGGUGAACGGUGAUCAUGAUCCUGGAAGGUUGGAGAUUUAACCUUAAAAUUGCUUUUAUGUAAUUUUUUUUUUUAAUCAAGUUCAAAAUUGCAUAUAUAUUGCUCUCACUGAUCUCACACAACUUAUGGUACACAACCUCACCGCAUAAACCUUCGUCAACACAUGCUCACUGGAACUUUCCUAGUGAACUUCUGGAGUUCUCGCAUGGCUAGAUCUCUAAGUUGAAAAUUCAGAAAAUGGUAAGGACUUCCUCAUACUUAUUUACUACCAUCUAAGCUACUAGGAGGGUUUGUACUACAAGCUUCUAUGUCUUUGCAAUCUGAGGUUGCAUACUUCAAAUAAUUUUCUAUCUCUUUAUUUUCUGAGCUUCCAAGCUUUCUAUAGAACCACUUCUUGUGACGAUGAUGAUGAUGACGACGACGAUGAUGUUUUGGUCUCCUCUCGCUAAUGGCAAUGGCGAUGUCAUUAGGGAAGAGGUCUCGGAGCACAAACGCAUGUACCAUUGUGGUUACGAGCAGAGCUGUGAGUAUGAGAGUGGAGGUGAUCGAGAGUGUGACGGCCAGCGUUUGAGUUACUGUGUUGGUGACUUCAUUUGAGUACCUAAUGGUUGCAAUGGCAGCUCCAGUCAUGGGGAAAGUGUACGCCCACCAAGCCAAUGAGAACCUUUAAAUUCAAGGAAGCACAAAUGUAAGGUAAGCUCAGAAGAGGAGAACUAAUGGGUAGGAAAAAAAAUUUCUAAGGUUAGAGUUGGACACUUACUUAAAUCCUCGGAAAAAAUUUAUACGAACUGCCUGCAGAAUUACAGAAAACAAUAGCAUGGUUAGGAAAUUGAAAUCAAUCAAAGCAAGAACGCAAGUUAUGUCUUUCAGUUGAUCAUGUGGUAGAGACUUACCAGUGAAAAAUACAGAAACAGAGCGAUGAAGUAUGCAAUCCUGGAGCCAUAAUCGAACGAGCCUUGAAUCUUUGCCCAUGCCAUCGAAGCAACACUUGGAGCUGCAACAAACAGAAAGAAUACUGGAUGGAGCUCCUUUGGGAGUGUUUCAUUGGUUGGAAGUCUUUGGUAGAGGGUCACAAAUAGGACUGUGUAGUGGGCCAACCCAAUAGCAAAGAAGAAGAUAGGCCCUUCUUUUAGACCCAUUGAUGCACCCAACAAUGCCCCAACAAAAUUCCCUACAACUGAGAGAUGAUUUGAAGGAUUCGCCACUCUUGAAAGCCUCCUUUGUCCUCCAGACAUCCACUGUCCAUAGAUCUUGAGCUCAAGACAGAGUAUUGGAGUCAUGAGAAUGUACCAAAGGACACUAUGCAAGUUGUUAGCAACUGAUGAAGGCACUCCAAGUGCUAAGAACAGGAGGGCUAUCCAUGGAGCAAAGAAGAAAUUGACACGGAUGGGGUGAUAGUAUUCACGGCGAACUGCUUCAAAGUAGAGAAUCAUUUUGAGAAGAUAAAUGGAAGCUACAGUGGCUACAAGAGCAACAGAGAUGCACCACAGCACAAGAUUUACAUAGGGGCUAAUAUGGAGAAAUUUAGUGGAAGCAGAGUUGGCCAGAGUUUUCCACAUGAUUGCCUGGCUACUAAUGCCAAGACAGAUACCAAAUGAAGAGAUGGGAUAUCGGAGAAGAAAUGGCCAUGUCUUAUCAUCUGGCAGCACUAUUUCCUCUGAGGCCUAUGAAAUUAGCAUAAUCAGAAAAAGAUAAAGAACAUUUGGAUUUAAUAAAAUCGUAUAUAAAUGAAUGGAGGCAGCUUAGCACUUACUCUAAGGUUCUCCAAUUCAGGUCCUUCCAGGGCAUCAUAGUAUCGAUCCACAGGUAAGGCAUCGUUCUCUGCUCUAUGCUCCACAGGAUUCUCUGGUGAAGGUUCACGUGGCUUCCCACGUAGAUAUGAUAUCUGCCUCUCAAGUUUCCCGGACCAUGUUUUGAAAGAAUCGUAGCUUUUAUCCUUCAGUUUUUGAUGGGUUUGAGAGUUUGUAAUAUUGACGACUCCCAGCUCAACAGCACUUCCCUUGGGCAUUGGCUGAGAAUGAAACUUUAUUUGAUUUGUGUGAGAGAUGGCAACCUUAGAUUCACUAGAAGAAACCGAAACUGCGCCAUUAUCUUCAUAAAGAAUCUUUUCAUUGAUCUCUGAACUGUUUUCCCUUGGAGAAGUUGGCAUGCUAAUGGAAAUAGAACGACUCCUUUGAUCGUUGAUGGGUUGAAAUAUGUCAGCGCCGUUCUCCAAAUCUAUAGUGCCAGUUCCCUGCCAUGAAUAAGAUAAAAUCUUACGCCUUCCCCGAUAAUUGCUCUUUUCACGUUCAAUUUCUCUAUGAGGAAGAAAUCGAGGUAUAAUAUAACAUACCAUAGGCGAUGAACUGAAAGGAUAAGGUUCACUUGGUUGUUUCUGAGAAUUCAGGCUAGUGUUAAUAGCAAUACCAUCAAAGCCAGCCACUUCUUUCGUUGAUAUGUAUUUGAUGAGUGUGGGAAUGGAUUCUUCGUGCGUUGCAAAAUCUUGGAUUUCCAUUAUAAAACAGCUACCACCUGAAAGGCAGUUGGGUGAAGUUUUAGAGUUAGCUAAACAACUAAUCAUAUUUGGUGAUUAUUGCCAUCUCAUAUUAUCAAUCCUUAAUGUCCUGUUCCAUACAAGUCAAUUUCCUCUGUAAGAGAACGUUAAGUAAACUGAACUCAUAACCAUUAACCAGCGUCACAGAAGAAAAAUGAAAAAUUUGCAGUCUCUCGAAAUUUUAAUCAUUUGAAUAACCAGAGUUCUGUUCUCAUGGUUAUAUGGGAAGAAACUAGAGAGCAAUGAAUUGGGAUUUCUGAGUCACUGAGUGACUGUCAACAGUACAGCAAGAAGACAAUAUCAGAUUUUCUGAUUCAUGAACGGAUAUAACAACUUAUUAAUCAAUCAGAAUCACCAUAACAACUGAUGGAGAAUAUAUACUCACCUCCGACUUUACUAAAUCUUUAACAGCUGAUGAUGAAGGAAAAACUUGUAAACACAGAUAGCGGAGUCCUCAGCAAACCAAGAAAAUUUAGGAAGAGGUGCUAAACAAUCCCUGUACACUUUCCUCCUCUGGCCCUCUUAGUGACAAGAGAAAAACACGGACACACACUUGUUGGAAGCAAUAUAAAUGACGUUAAUGGCGGGCAUUGAACUGUUCUGUUACGUCAAAAACUGCACGCUCUGUGUAAUAAUCAGUGGUUCUCUAUUUGAGGAUGCGAUAUGACACAACCAUGCAGAAGGAGAAGAUAAACCAAUUCAAUAUUAAACAAUCUCCAGCUGGUAUUUUAAUUAUUUAUAUGUUAGGUAACCAAAGGUUGGUCGAUAUAGCCUGGCUCGGAUAAUUUGUCUUAAUUAUCAAUCGUCUCAGGGUUGGUGUUGUCUGUUCUUAAAGAACCAGCGAGUUAGCUUUGAGUAACAGCUAAAAAACAGCAGCGCUAUAUCAUCCGUCGUAAGGAAAAGUAAAAAAAUUUCCACUACUUCUAUUCGAUUUCGAUAAUUACGUACCGUUAAGGUGAUAUUUGAAAGUAUUUACCUGUUAUUUAAUUUUAAUGUUUAAUUUGAACUAAAUCUCCAAAAAAUGACCUUUGUGUAAAAAAAAAAGAUACAAAUUCCAGCGGACGCGGUGACAUGGUUGGAAUUUCAAACAUUAUCAACAACAAAUCAGAAAAUGGCGGCCCACAUAUAUGAAAGAAACACAAGAGACAAUAACUAAAAAUAAAUAAAUGAUAAAAUGAAGUAAAUAUUUAUAUGGGAUAAGUCCAACAUUAAAGUCAAUUUACACAGGGCUUUAUCCAUUUUUAUAAAUUUUUUAAAUAUUUUUAUUGAAUAUAAUUAUCAUAUACGUUUUAAACAAUAAAAAAAUAAACUUGUAAUAAUUUUUUUUCAUCAAACACGCAACGUCCGAAGCUGAUAAAAGAAAAUAAUUAAGUUAAAAAUAUGAGAAAAUAUACCAUGUUUUGAUUUAAUAUAUGUCCUAUUAAAAUCACCAAAGAAAGACGAAGGUAGGUUUGAUAGCUCAUAAUAUACUUUAAACUUUUAGAUAUUUUCAAUUGAAUGAAUAAAGUGCGUGAUUAAAAAAAUAAGAUAAUUUCAUAAUUAGGUGUAUAAUAAGGAAUAGAACAUUGAUCUGUUUUACAAAUUUUUUUUCUAUUAAUAUUAAGAUGAUUAUAUUCGAAUUUUGGUAUUGGGAAAAUGACAUGUUAGGGAUUACUUAAUUAAUUUAAAAAUUACAACAAAAAUAGUUUAAUUAAAUUUAAUUUGAGGUGGCAAAUUGAAAAUAUUACUUAGAAAGAGAGCUACAUGCAAAAAAGGAAGGUAGAGAGGCGGGCAAUAAAUGUGAACCGCAAAAACUUGUGAAAUAUUCAAUAACCAAACUAACAAAAAGAAUGUACAUAAUAUUGGCAAUGAGAAUAACUUAUUUACCCACGUUUUCCUCUUUUAUUCUAAUGAAUUUGGACGAAUAAAUUUACUUAAUUUCAUCUAAGUGUUUGUUUAAAAUUGACCUAAUUCAAUUAAAAUUAAACUCUAUAUUAAUUAAUUACAUUUUCUUGAAAUAUGAUCAUAUAAUUAAAUAUUAUAAUUAAAUAAUGCGAACCUCCAUCAUUCAAUAAGAUGAGAUAUCUAAAUAUAAACUACAUUGGAAUAAUGUUAUCCUAAUUAACAAUUUACUAAUUCUAGUCCAUACCUAUAAAUAGGAAAUCAGUCUAUAUCUUUUGACAAACUGAUUACACGAGUCAACCAAUUCGUUGGCUUGCCCAUUUUGCAGGUACAGGCAUUUCCCCUUUGCAGCAUCAAAAAUUGAAAUAGAUAAAAUUGUGGAAUCCAAUAUGAAAUUAGAAAUUAGAAUAAAGAUGAUGAUGCGAAGGACAUAAGUAUCCAUACCUAAAUUCUUUAGCUGCCGGUUAAUGCCCCCGUGUAUGGUGUCCACCUUCACCAUCUUAGUGUGGAUGUAUAUAUAUUUUGUAGUGUGGUGAUAAGGUGAUAUUGUAAUUUAUAUUCAUUUCAAAAUGUCACUUAUUUGUAUCUUAAUCUAUAACCAACUGAUCCAUAUAAGUGUUUUUCAUAUAAAUAUAUUAUAUUUAUAUAAUCUCGAUGUUUUAAUUUAAAAUAAAUUAUUCAAUACAUAAUAAAAAUAAAAUUUAUUUUUUAAUGAAAUACCGUCAGUUAUAUUUUGUAUUCUAGAACGAAGCCACGUGGCCCUUGGCCACUCUGAAAUCACAACCCAGCCCACAAAGACAUCCGCUGUGUGUCUUUUGCUUUUUCACGCUUUUGCUAGUUUCAUCGUAUCUCAUCAGUCGGCGGUCCAAAUCCAUGAUCUCUACCCUCAAAUAGCCUUACAUUUUCUCUCCAAAACAUCAACGAACCAUUUUGCCCCCACGAUUUCCACUAUGUCCCAUCUACAAUCUGUAAAUUGAUUUGAUGAUAUCAUAAACAAAUUUUUAAAAAAAAUGCUUGGCGAUUUCAAUUGGAAAAGAAAACGAAAAAUCUGUAAUUUUUUUAUGUAGAUGAGUUCUGCCGCAAAUGUUUUUUUUUUUAUCUGCAUUCCAUAAUUGCAAACGAAAUAAAAUUUAUAAAAUUGAAAUUAGUUUUAGAAGACUUGCCACAAUCUAAUUAAAUAAAGUUUUGGUAACUAUAUAAGCAGUUUUAUUAUUAUUUUUUUAAUAUAUAAAUUUAAAAUACAAAUCAACUUAAAAAUAUAAUUACUAAAUAAAUGCAUCAGUAGCUAUAAUUUUAAAAAAGUGUUGAAAGAGUUUUGAGUAGUAAUAAAAAAUAUAGCUACUCCAUCAACUAAAAUCCCAUUAAUAAUUUGAUUAUAGUAAUGAUGAAAAUUUCGCAGCAAAUAAUACAUCGAAUAAUCCCACAGUUGAAAUUUGAAACACUUAAAACCAAUAAUGAAUAUGCUUCUCCAAAAGCACAAAAGGACAACAUGGGGUGUUUAAUUAUGGGAACAAACAAAUUAAACAGCACACAUAUAAACAGAGCAGGAUGUGUGGUCUUGGAAGGAAUGGGUUAAAUCAUGAAUUGUGGUGACUUUGCAUAAUUAUUUAAUAUUUUCCAUUCAUUUAUAGUGGCUCAGACUUCUCCUUGCUCUUCUUCUACAGCACCUGGAUGCACCAAUCACACAAAUACAGAACAAUAUAAAGUCCAAACACUGCUUUUCCAUCUCAUUGCCUAAAUAACUAAUCACAAAAUUGCACAUUCAGCUAAAGUUUAUGGUCUUAUAAAAAUAUUUUUAAUAAAUUUAAGAAAUACUACAAAUAUAUGUUUCACCUUUUUAUUCUUGCAGCACAUAUUUUCUAAUGUACAAGAUCAUUUAUUAAUAAUAAAAAAUUAUUUAUCUAAAACUUAGUGAAUUUAUGAUACUUAUUUUAGAUGGCUAAUAUUAUUUACAUAAAAUAUAAAUGACUAAUUAAUCAUAUGUAUAUAUUGAUAUUAUUUUUAAAAUUAUGUGAUUUUUUCAAUUUAAAUUUUAGUUAAAUUAAAAUAAAAAUAAUAUCUUUUUAUCAAAUGUAAAGAUAAUUAUAUUAAAAGCUGUAAAAUACAAAGGCUUAAUAAAAAGUUCACUUGGAAACUAAAAAAUAUAAAGAGUAUAAAAGAACAAGGAACACUCAAGUCAAUACCUUCAACCCUUCAACAAAAAGUCUAGGGUCACAGAGGAGAUGGGAGGAGUGCCAUGUUGUUGUGGUCGCCGCCACCUUACCAUUCUUUUGAUAAAAAACUCAAUAUAACAUCAAAAAAUAUAAAUUUUUUAAAAAUUAUUACUAAGAUAAUUCAAAAAAAAAAUAUUAAUCUUUUAAAGACUCUAAAAAAGUCAACAAUUAAAAUUUUAUCAAUUUUUAAUCUCUUAAAGAUAUGUGAUUAAAAUAAAAAUAAUUAACUAUAAAAUUCUAGAACUUACUGUCUUUACGAUUUAAAAAUUAAUGUAUUUUUUUUUACUUGAUUAUUUAGGGAAAACAUAUAGUCUGAUUUGGGUCUUAAUAACUAAAGAGCAGCUAAUAAGAACUGGCUAAAUUUAAUAAAAAAAUGACCAAAUUAAGCACUAUAAAAAUAAAACUUUUUUGAAAAUUAAAUUUACAAAUACUCACUACUAAGAAAAGACAUUAUAAAUCAGAAAAAGUAGAGCAAGUGACAUGUAAAUUCUCUCUCGUUUAAGCUCUCAAAUCUGUAAACGAUAAAAGUAAAAUCAAAAUGAAAAUUAUUUACAAACGACCUGAAGUGGAAGGAACAAUCCACAGUUGGGAGGGGAGCCAAAGUAAAGAAAACCGAUAAAGGGGGAAGGAGAAAGAUAAUUUCAGAAAAUCUCUCUAAAAAUAAAUUGGGGAGAGAAUUAAAUUACAAUAAAAAAUACUAAAAGGAAAAGUAACGAAAAGAAGCAUUUUGAUUGGGAGAAAAGGGAGUCACGUGGCUUUAGACUUUAGCCAUCAAAUGAAUACAUUGGAAGUCGGCUUGGGGCUUUUAGGUCAGAGUGUUUUUUUAUGUAAAGUAAAAAGCAUGUCUUUCCCUUUGACCUACCACUGUCUGUGUAAGCAAGCACCACCAUUGGCCACUGGCAACCAUAAAAAGCUAGUCGGCAAGACCUGGUUUGGCUUUUAGCGACUCAGCAACUUCAUUUUACAGCCUGUGGGUCGGCUCUUUUUCUUAUUGGCUGUGCCUGCCUUUAUUUUUUUACUUUUUCUUUCUCAAUUAGCAUAUAUACAAAAAAUAAUUGCAUUUGGAAAAAAAAAUCAAAUAAAGGAAAUAAGUAUUGGAAAUUUCGGAUAGAGCCUGUUCCUGUUUGUAGUUCGACUGGAAAGCUAUAAUUACAUUACACGACCCAUAUGCAUCAUUCUCUUACUCUUAUCACUCGCAGUGGUAGCUUUUUUGUGCAACUAGAAGUUGACACAGAUGCAAAAAGCUUAACAAGGAGUGGAUGAAUCACUAAAAUAAAACCACUAAACCUUUUUCACUAAUUUAUUUAAUUAGGGUCAGUGACAACAAAGCGAGUUUUGCCUUUUGGGUAAUUAAUUCAAUUGAGUGGAGAAGUCCCAAUCGUCCUUCGUACUUGGAAAAUUAUAUUACUAAUAAGCUUUUCUUGUAAAAGAAGGCAAAAGGAAUGGACCACAAUGGAGGGCUAUGAUUUUGAUGAGAAAUGGGUUUGGAUGUUGGCGGGGGAUCUUGGUUUAUUUCCAUUUUUUCGAGAUUCGAAGUUUCCUGGAAAAAGGAAGUUGAAUUAGUAGUCAACGACUCGUAGGGAAUUUAGUUGGCUUUUAACCAAGUUUAAAACUUUUUUGUAACUACAGUUACUUACUUAGCCAAAGCCAAAAGCCAAACGGUAAAGCUUGUUCCUUUUGCUUUUCUCCACAGCAUCACAAGUGUACCUCUAGGCUUUGUGACAUGCAAUUCAUCACAAUUAUGGUCGAUUUAUCUUUUCAUAAGAAAAACAACAGCAAUAAUAUAUUGGAAAAAUUGAAAUGCCAAGACAAGACAACUGAUGAAGCAAAUCGAGCAUGGUCUGGUGACAACAUAGCAAUACACUGCUUCAUAGGAUUCUUUCUCUGCUCUCUCUCUCUUUCUCUCUCUCUCUCUCUAUAUAUAUAUAUAUAUAUAUAUUGCCUGAACAGUGAACAGCGCAACUUUUGGUGGGUGAGGGUGAGUGGGGGAGAGGGGAUCAAUCAUCUAUGCAAUUCCCCAGUCCAAAGAUUGGAAACUGUUGGGUCCAUUAUGAACAAUGAAACGCAAAUGUCAACAAAAGUUGUGGCUUUUGGAUGGCCUUCAAUUAAUUUACCAUUUGCCAGGAAAAAAAGAAGGAGGUUGUUGAAAACGUGAGCAGUGAGAGCUCUUAUCAAGUUAUGUAAUAAGAGAAUCUGGUCGGCAAAAAUUUAUGGCACAAAGGGAAAAAAAAUAUGAAAAGUAAUUAUAUAUGCAUAUAAUGAGAUUCCUUUGGCAUCCACGCAUCUACCCAUGUCCUUGAGGCCCUUUUCCACAUCAGCAGCACAUGGUUUGGCCCUGAAAAAUCUUUUGGACACAUUGAUUUCUGUGGCUUACACGCAAUGCCACUACGCCCACCAUGCCUAAAGCUUUCCUUCUUAUUAUCAAAUACACAAAACACAGAAAGAAAGAAACAAAGAUGGAUUUUUCUUUUAUCCAUGAUCCUGCCCAUUUAAUGGGUAAACAACCUACUUUAAUUGUUGUAUAUUCUUCACUGAUUCCUUCAUUUUGCGGCAAUUCACCCUCUCCAUGUACUAUGCAUGCUAUUCAAUUUCCCGUUGAUAAUUUUUAAUUUGUAUUAAUAAUUAAUAAUGAAUAUAUCAUUCGAUAUCUCAAAUUAAAUUAAAUUAAAUUAAAUUUUAAUAAAAUAUUUAAUAAUCUUAGCCACUAAAAAAUAAUGAAAAUUUCGAUUUAAAUUCUUUUUAUGUAAAAUAGUAUAAUUUACUUAUCGGAAAUAUUAAACUAUGUCAAUUUUGUUCCUAAACAUUCGCACAAACAUUUCAACUCCCUCCAAGAAAAAAUAAAUUUGAAUUCACAUGAUUAUAUAUUAAUAAAGAAUUUGAUAUCUCAAAUUAAAUUAAAUUAAUAUUUUUAUUUGAAUAAAUAACUUACGAAGGAAAAAAAAUUAUUCAACAAUUAUAUAUCAACAUGAGAAUCAAUUAAAAAAAAAUUGAAUUCACGUGAUCAAGCUAAAUGUAAAUAUAAUUAUUUCAUUUUUUAUCCAACCACAACAAUGGAUUUAAUUAAAACAACUAUUCCAAUAAAGUAACGAGGAACCAAAAUUAUUCUUACAGUGAAAGAAAACAAGAAGAAGAAGAUAAAAACAGAACAUAUAGUCCUGGAAAUUCAAUUGACAAUGCGAAGAAGGCAGCAGGGAUAAGAUUAUUAUUGCAGAAAAUUAGGAAAAGGUGAUGAAAAUAGAAUUGUUUCCAUAGGAAUGUAAAGGAGUUUUGUGGUGGAUGAUGCAUGGCCAUUGGGUCGCCGUUGUUCUCUGUGAUUGGACUAUUAAUUAAGCAGCUAUAGUAUAGUGGAAGACAAAUCUUUUCUCUUCACUUGUCCUCGGUCCCGUCGCUCCUAUUUUAAACAGCAACUCAUCAUUCUGGUCCUGUGUCCAAAGACGAUUCACUAUUCCAUUUGCAGAUUAUUUUUAAUUUGAUUUUAGGUAAAAUUCAACUUGGGUUUGUAAAAUGUAUUGAAAUUGAUUGAUAGUUCAAGAGGCAUGCCCAAAAUGGGGCUCGAAAGUCAAGCUUCACUUAUCCGGUAACAAUAUUUAAUGGAGGUAUAAUUUCUCAAAAUUUUUUUUUUUUUUUUUAAAAUAGGGGUUGGGGGAGUCGAACCUUAGACCUCUCAGGUCUAUCAAGAUGCACAUUCCAUCAGGCUAAGUCUUGGAGUGCUUCUUAAAAAAUUUUAUUUCUAUCAGUUUUAUUUCUAACAAAUACGUGUAGUUAUCAAAAAUGCAUCCAUUGGAUAUAAUGUUUAAGUUAAUUACAAUAUGAUAAAGUUAUAUGUGAUUAUAAUUUAAUUAAUCAAAUAAACAUUGUUAACUUAGACAGCACAGGGAAUAAAGCUGAGUCUAUAUAUAUAUUUAAAAAGAUAAAAAAGAAAUGUGACUCAAAAAGUUAUCAAUUCGCAAGAGUGACAAAUGUCUUAUUAUUAUGUCUUAUUAUUAUAUAAAAAAAGUAAAUAAAUUAAUAAAGCAAGAGAAAGUUGGCAUUAAUAUUAUUAUAUACUAAUAAAUUAAUAAUACUUUUUAAGUGACAUAAGUUUUUUUCUGUAAUUUUUUUAUAAUUCGAUAUUCUCGUCUUUUUCUCUUUCUUAAAUUUAAUUUUUUCUUUUUUCUUUCUCAUGAAAGACGAUCUGCAUCAAUUGAUUAUCGAUGAAAAAAAUGUUAUUGUCCCUAUUAAGAAUUCCAAAGAUAUUCCGAUCAUCACUUAUGAUUUCUAUAUAGUGAGAAUGUUUCUCACAUACAAUUCAAUCAAUUUUCAGAAUAUGCAGACUUUUUUUCACAGAUUUAUAACGAUAAUUCUCGGACAAUUAAUGUAUUAAAGAAUUUGGUUACUAGUUACAAGCCACACAUUUCAUUUUUUAUAGAAAUAAAAACUCUUAGUUCUCGUAUAAAUUUUUUUUUGUAAUUUUUUACAUUUUGAUAUUUGCUUCUCAGUUAAUAGAUAAGAAUUGUAAGGAAAUCUUUCAUUAAUGUGAAAAAGUCGUGUGUCUGUUUCUGUGAUUAUUUUUUUUUUUAAAAUUUUAUUGAUUUAAAAGGUAAUGUUGAAUGAAAGUUUACUAGUUAUUAUAAGUUUCUGGAAUUGCAACAACAACGUCAGAUAUGAAAUUUUAUUUGAGAUUUAUCUCGUAGAAUCUCUCUUCCGUGGUUUUGUUCGGGAGAUUUUAAUGAUUUAUACUCGAGAGAUGAUAAAGAAAAAGAAAUAUUUUUAUCAAAUUAUCUUAUGCAGGAGUUUAAACAGGCGUUUGAGAAGUAUUUUUAUCAAAUUAUUUUAUGUAGGGAUUUGCUUUUGAAUGAUUGUAAAUAUUUAUUAGAUUCUAGAACUGAUAUUUCUGUUAAAUGGGUUCAUUAUGAUAUUAUUCUAACCGCUCAUAUUUUAUUAAGUAUAAUUAUUUUUCUAUUUGAUGGAUUUUUAUUAAUGAAAUAAGUAAUUUUUUAAAUUAAAAAAAAAGAAAGAAAGGAAAAAGAAGAGGGAGGAGAAAACCCACGAGAUGAUGAGACGAGACGAGACGAAAAAGCAGAGAAAAAAGAAAAGACUGACGAGAAAAGAGUAAUGAACCAAGAUUAGACGGCCCAUGCGUUAAGUAAAAAACCAAAGUAAAAAAUAAUAAUAAUAAUAAAAUAAAGGUUUUGCAGGCAGGCAGGCUCCCAAUUGACGUCCAUUGAAAUUCCGAGGAGAGCAUGCUAUAAAUAGUUGGAAAGGGCCAACCCACAUAGCUCUCAGCUCCUACCCGUCAAAAAGCUUAUACGCCAACUUUCUAUUCUCAGACCCAUUGUAUACACAUUUCCUGAUUUUCUUGUCCCCUCAAUUCAAUAUUUGAUUGGACUCAUUAAAUUCUUGAAUCACUUGAUCCGCCUCCCGUUUUGCAAAUCCUCCAUUACCUUUCAAUCGCUGGUUUAACAAGUAGGUUUACGAGUUUUGUGUUUGAUGUUCUUGGGUUGACUAGGAAAAAAACAGAAACAGAAAAAGAAGAGAUGGAGCAGAAGCAUUUCUUGUUGUCUGCGUUGAGUGUGGGAGUUGGAGUUGGUGUUGGGCUGGGAUUGGCAUCUGGGCAGGGCAUGAGUAGAUGGGCUGGUGGAAAUGGUUCUUCAGAUGAUGUCUCAGCUGAGCAGAUUGAGCAGGAGUUGAUCAGACAGGUGCUUGAUGGCAGAGACAGCAAGGUCACCUUUGAUGAGUUUCCGUAUUACCUCAGGUAAUUAUGCCAUUCCUCUUUGGUUUACAAAUCAUCUGUUAAUGAUUGUGUUUUUCCUUUUUCAUCUGAGAAUUGAAAACACCUUCCUUUGUUUUUCUUUGGUAUACUUACAGUACUCCUGUCCCCCAAAAUUUUCUUUUUCUUUUGAUAAUCCUCAAACAGUUUGCUGUUUGGGGAUCUAAUUAAAUGGACUUUCUUUCCCAUAUUUGUAGAUUCUUGAUUCCCCUAUUUCUCAGCAGAUUAAACUGUAUAAGUUCACUUUACUCUUCCAUAGAUACAAGCUGAGAAAUCAAGAUUCCAAAUAAUAUAUAAUAUUUAUAUUUUAUUCUUAAAGUUCAACAAUGAUUUAUAACAGCAUGGCAACAACUUAUUUAAUAUUGUAGGCACCUAACCUACCACCUUUCUUUUGUUCCCCUUUUUCUUUACUUUAUGAUUUUCAAGAUUUUUGCUUCUUAUGUGAAUGUUUUUACUUGUUGGUUUCUUGAUUAUCAUUGGAUAUCAAUAUACUUUGUGAAUUACACAACUCAGUUAUAAAAGAAAUUUCAGAAUCACGUUAAAUAUCGGGAAACCUUUCCUGACUUGUUGGGGAUGAUGAAAGUUGAGUCAUGAUUUAUACCAGGAUCAAUAAUUGUAACAUUCCUGUGAACUACUUCCAUGACAUUAUUUUGAAUGAUGCCCCAUAAGUUACAUACUGUACUGCAGUUUUUAGGAUUUUAAAUUUUUUGAUGUUCUGAUUCUGAUGAUGAGCGAAUGCAGUGAUGUAACUCGCAUUUCAUUGACGAGUGCUGCAUAUAUCCAUUUAAAGCACUCAGACGUUUCCAAGCACACCCGGAACCUCUCACCUGCUAGUAGGGCUAUUUUGCUCUCAGGACCUGCUGGUAUGCAAGGGGAAAAUAUGCCUUGCAAUUUUUCAUUUGAGUAUCAUCUUUCCAAGUUGAUUUCUAACUUAGUCUUGUUGCAAUUAUCUUCUGAAGAACUUUACCAGCAGAUGCUUGCCAAGGCUUUAGCACAUUACUUUGAAUCGAAGUUGCUGUUAUUGGAUGUUCCUGAUUUUUCCUUAAAGGUGAGUAUGCAAUAUAUUCAAAUAUUCUAUGUCACUUGGCUUCGAGAUUUACUUAUAUUUUCAAUGUUGUGCUUGCUACAGAUACAGAGCAAAUAUGGAUGCACUAAGAAAGAAUCGGUAAGCAUUCUUUUUCAACCGUCAUAUCUCUUUUUUUUUCCCUUCAAAAAACUCAAAGUGAAUCAGACCAUGCAGUCCCAUGGGAUGCUGUGCAUUCUCAAUGUUGAAUUUUUCUACAAUUCAUCUGGUUAUCCGUUUGAGAGGAGUCAAUAACUUAUAGGGCAUUUCAAUAUUCUGAUUUAGUUGCUUCUCCUUGUAGUCUUUCAAGACAUCCAUAUCAGAGGCUGCAAUGGAACGAAUGUCCAGUUUGUUUGGUUCUUUCUCAAUCCUUUCUCCAAAAGAAGUAAAAGGUACAGAAGAACUUAAGUUUCAUUUUUGAAGAAGUCGUACAGCUUUUUCAAUGAAUGCCUUUUGAUGUUUUUCUGAAUGCUUAUGCUGCUAUAGACUGUUGAGAUCUUCACAUCCUAUUCUAAGUUUCUUUUAUGCUAAAACAUUAAGUUAGUUUAUAUUUUGCUUCUAUCUGCUCGGUUGUAUUUGUUCUUUCUGUUUAUAUCCACUAAUUUCUUCACAACAAUCCUACUUGAGAACUUUCUUGUACUUGUAGGUACAUUGUGUGGACAGAGCAGUAAUUUGGAUACUAAAUCAAGGUACCACCUACUCCUUUAAGUACGACUCCCAACAGUAGAGACAUAAAGCUUGGCUGACUAUAGUUUAGUUGUGGGAUUAAGCCCCAUUUGGAUUAGAUGCUGUUCAAUAGUUCUGAGCCUGUCUCUUUGUAAUUGCAGAAGUAUGGAAGGUAUGAAUAAUCUUGGCAAACUUCGCAGAAAUGCCUCUGCUGCAUCUGACAUAAGUAGCAUUGCCUCCCAAUCUGCUUCCACAAACUCAGGUUGCACAUCUGAAAUCAUUUUGUUCUGUACAAUAUAAAACCUUAGAAUCACCUGAUAUUUAAGUUAAUAUCAGUCUAUGUCUAUGAGUUUGGUAAUUUUUCAUUUAGUUGCUAGUUAAUUAGCACUUAAUGAAUGAUGACUUCCACGUUUGUCACAUAAGUAAUCAUGUAGGAUGCACUCAGAGAUACUAAUGUUGGAAUGAGACCUUUCAUGUCAUCCUAUCCUCUAAUUUGCGGAUACUAAGGGAAUUCAUUUGUUUUCAGCUUCUCUCAAGCGAGUGAGCAGCUGGUGUUUUGAUGAGAAACUCUUUCUGCAAUUGCUUUACAAGGUAAUACUUUUCUUUUUGGGAUAACAUGUACACAAUACAGUGCUUAAUACUUGCUAUGUGACAGUUUCUUCUGUUUGUAGACAAACAGAUAACUAGCAUCUAGCUUUAGCUUAUUGCAGCUAAGACUUUGAGUCUUGUUAUUCUUACAGGUAUUGACUUCAAUGUCACAAAGAAAUUCUGUCAUUUUAUACCUAAGGGACGUUGAGCAGGUUUUUCUCCAAUCAGAAAGGAUGUACAACUUGUUCAGUAAAUUCUUGAAGAAACUUUCGGGUUCAAUUUUGAUACUUGGUUCCCGUAUGGUGGACCAAGAAGACGAUUGCAGAGAAGUAGAUGAGAGACUCGCCAUGUUAUUCCCAUACAAUAUUGAGAUCAAACCACCGGAAGAUGAGACUCAUCUUGUUAGCUGGAAAGCACAGCUGGAAGAAGACAUGAAGAUGAUUAAAUUUCAAGAUAACAAAAACCACAUUGUUGAGGUACUUGCAGCAAAUGAUAUUGAAUGUGAGGAUUUGGGUUCAAUUUGUCAUGCAGACACAAUGGUCCUUGGCAAUUACAUUGAAGAAAUUGUGGUAUCAGCAAUUUCAUAUCAUCUGAUGAACAAUAAGGAUCCAGAAUACCGAAAUGGAAAGCUUGUUAUAUCAUCUAAGAGGUAGAUAACGCACCUUUUGUUGUAAGCUCGUUUAAUAUAUAUACAAAUAUUUUAAUUAUUAUUCCAUCUCUGAAGCAGCCUGUCUCAUGGAUUGAGUAUAUUCCAAGAAGGAAAAAUUGGGGGGAAAGGUACUCUAAAACUGGAAACUAAUGGUGAAGUUGGCAAGGUAUGUUUGAUAUUACAAUACAUGUUUAAUGGUUUGAGCAUAACAGAAUUUCGUUUCCUAAUCACUUUCCCUAUUUCAUCAAUUUUAGGAAACUGAAGGGGAAGAGGCUGUUGUUGCAAAGACUGAAUCAAAGUCUGAAACUUCACCUGAAAAUAAGGGUGAAAUUGAGAAAUCUGGUCCUGGUGUGAAGAAAGAUGGCGAAAAUCAAACUCCAGCAAAAACCCCUGUAAGCGAAAGCCAUAGUUAGAAAAUGGAGAUCAAUAUGAUUUUUAGUUGUCUAGCUAAUAGCCUUAUGUUGCUUGAAUCUGACAGGAAUUUCCUCCUGACAAUGAAUUCGAGAAACGAAUCAGGCCAGAGGUUAUCCCUGCAAAUGAGAUUGGAGUGACAUUUGCGGAUAUUGGUGCCUUGGAUGAAACUAAAGAAUCACUUCAGGAGCUCGUCAUGCUCCCUCUUCGAAGACCAGACCUCUUCAAAGGUGGGCUUCUUAAGCCUUGCAGAGGCAUAUUACUAUUUGGGCCUCCAGGCACAGGAAAAACUAUGCUAGCCAAGGCCAUAGCAAAUGAAGCUGGAGCAAGUUUCAUUAAUGUCUCAAUGUCCACCAUCACUUCAAAAUGGUUUGGUGAAGAUGAAAAGAACGUCCGAGCACUGUUUUCUCUUGCUGCAAAGGUCUCACCAACUAUCAUAUUUGUUGAUGAAGUUGAUAGCAUGCUUGGGCAGCGGACCAGAGUUGGUGAGCAUGAGGCCAUGCGGAAGAUAAAAAAUGAGUUCAUGACACAUUGGGAUGGGCUGUUAACAAAACAUGGUGAGCGAAUUCUCGUCCUUGCUGCAACAAACAGGCCGUUUGACCUUGAUGAAGCAAUUAUUAGGCGGUUUGAGCGCAGGUAAGUUUCUUUCUUCAUUUAUUUUGCCUCAAGUUUUUUCUUGAUAGAAUGUCUUAUCCUUCGGAAGAAGCUUUAUUUUUUACAGUACCGUAUCCACAGUUCUUACUGCAAGACUGUUGCUUAGCAAUUGUUUCAGCGUAACAUAAUGCUCAGUAAAUCACUUCCUUUCACCUUAUGUCUUGACAUCCUUUCUGAAAAUCUCAUGGGCUUUAGAAAGAUUUCUCUCCGCCAUGAUUAGUUGCUGCCUUCUAGAUAAUGUUCUUGAUUGUGUUUUCUCUAAUUUAGAUGAUAUAGUGUUAAGCUAGUCACAAGUCUGAAAUGCUGCUCUGAAAGAUGAAGUGGAACCCAUUCACGGAAUUUACUAUCUUUUAAAAGCGUUGAAGAAAUUAGUUAAUGCUUGCUAACUACUAUAACCGUUAUUUUCAAGCAGAAUUAUGGUUGGUCUUCCAUCCAUUGAGAGCAGGGAAAUGAUUUUGAGAACUCUUCUCGCUAAAGAGAAAACUGAGAAUCUGGACUUCAAGGAACUUGCAACGAUGACAGAAGGAUAUAGUGGAAGUGACCUUAAGGUUUGCCCAUUUGUUUCUUAUUUACCCAUAUAUUUAGAGUAUUGAUCUAUUAAAUCUUUCAUUAGCUGUAAUCAGCUCAUAACUUGACCACUUGUAAGCAGAACUUGUGCGUGACAGCAGCUUAUCGACCUGUUAGAGAGUUGAUACAGCAAGAAAGAUUGAAAGAUAAAGUAAUCUCCUAUCCCUUCUUAACUAUUCCUUUUUUUUCAUGGUCUAAUUGUCUCAUUUUAUUUUUAUUUUGUUCUGAAUUUCUUUCUCAAUGAUCUUUCUGCAGGAAAUAAAGCAGAAGGCUGAGGAAGGCAAAAGCUCAGAAGAUGCUUCAAGCACAAAGGAAGAUAAAGAGGAAAAAGUAAUUGCUCUGAGGCCUUUAAACAUGGAAGACAUGAGGCAGGCAAAGAAUCAGGUAAUCUUUCAUGCAAAUUCAAGUCUUUUGUUGUUGAUAAACUCUUAUGUCACCAACUCACCAUAUGCUUAUAGCUUUCUUGUGUCUGUAACGUCUUUAUCUCUACUUAAGAUGCCACUUUCUUGUGGUCACACUAGUUUCAGUUUCUCGAAGAAAAGUAUUCCAGAAAUAGAGCAAUUCUAAAUGAAUUCCGCAAUGCAGGUUGCUGCAAGUUUCGCAUCUGAGGGAUCAAUAAUGGGUGAGCUAAAGCAAUGGAAUGAUUUGUAUGGAGAAGGAGGUACAAGGAAGAAGCAGCAAUUGACUUACUUCCUCUAGAUUGUAGAAAGCUGUCAUCUUGGAGGCACAUCAGUAAUGAGGAGGCUAAAGUUCAAGGAAAAGCUCUUGCACUGCAGGCAUACAACAAUGCAGCAUUGAAUAGAAGGCAGAGUCAUCAGAGUGAAAUUCUAGAAACUACAGCAGAGCUUGUUUCAGUGUUCUAUUGUUUGCUUAGGCCAUUCUAAGAACAUUGGAAACCACAUUUGGUAUUGUAAUUAUGUUGUGGUAGUUGAAAAUGCAUACGGGUUUGAGGAAUUUUGGUUGGAGGAGCCCUUUAUGUUGGGUUUGUUGGAUAAUUUGCAGCCUAUGAACAACAUCCGCGUACAGUAGCAUUUGUAUAUUGGUCAUGUAUAAACUCGUAUAAGUCUUGUAGAAUUUAAUUUACGUGUGAUUGGAGAUCCGAGGUUUAAAUCAAUUCAACUCCCACAAUCAAAGCACUAACUGCAGAACCUACAUUGUAGACUGUGGAGCUUUGCACAGUGAAUUUCCUUCUGCUAAGAAUAUUUACUCUUAAGAUUAGAAGAAAAGAAAAUCAUAUGAAUCGCAAUUAUUCUGUGGAAUAAAAUACUAGGCUUCUGGAAAAAUCAUUUUUAUAAUUGAUUUUAGAAAAAAAUACUAUUUAAUCCUUAUAAUAUAUAAAAAAUUACUAGUUAAUCUCUCGAUUUUAAAAUAUAUAUUAAAAUAUUUUUGAUAUUUUAAAAAAUAUAUUAAUAAAUCUCUCUAAUAAUUUUACCUUUAAAUAUUUUAUUAUUUAAUUUUUAUAUUUUUAAAAAAACUUAUUAAUUGAUCCAUUAAAUUUUUAUAAAAUUUACUAAUUAGUCCAUUUGUAUCUUAAAUUUUUUUAUAGUACCUAACGCUAAAACUAAUGGAGUUAACAAAUAGUCUUUUUAAAAUGUGAGAAAUAUUUUAAUAUACUUUUUAAAAUUAAAUAAUCAAUUAAUGAGUUUAUUCAUAUUAUAAAGACUAAAUAGUAAUUUAUCCUUAAUUUUAUAUAUUUUAUAUAUAGUGCGCAACUAAAGGGACUACGGCCCUUAAUUAUUUUUAAAAUUAUGUUAAUAGAUUAAUAUAAUUUGAUUUUUUAUUAUUUAAUCUUAAUGUCCUAAAUAUUAAUAAAAAAAGUAUAUAUAAGAACACUAUGUUUUUAGUUUUCAUUAAUUCCUCAAAUUUUUUAUUAAUCUCUAAUAAUUUCUAAUUUUUAAUUUAGUAUUAAGAUGAAAGUAUUAAACUUAUUUGAUUUUCAUAAAAAAUAUAAAAAAUUAAUUAAAUUAAUUAUUUAAAACUUACACUCACAAUUUAAUUUUAGUUUGAUGGUAAGUGUAUUCGAGUAAAUUUGAGAGGUUAAGUUCUACUUUUUCAAUUUUUAAUCUCAUUUUUAAAAAAAAUUAUUCAAAAUUUUUGUAUUAACAAAUUAAAAUUUAAUAAAUAUUUUAUUUUAAAUUUCUAGUUCCGCUAAGUGUGUAUAUAUGUAUAUAUAAAUAUAUAUAUAUGUAUCCACUAGGUUACAUAUUUAAGGUUGUUUGAUCAACCUGUAUUGGGUGCUCUGUCUCUCCGUUUCUCCUCUUCCUACUGUUAUUUCAAUUCCAAUAGGAAGGUAUGAAAAGGCCUUAUGAAGAAUUCUCCCUUAGCCAGUAGCCUGCAAAGAUCUAAGCUUGGUUCUCAGAGAAGCUCAUCUCAACAUCCUCUACACCAUGCGUCUUAUUACUGAACAAGUCUGCAUAAGUGUUUAUCCCGUGAUUUACAGAAUUUAACGAUUUAGGUAUUUGAAAUUUAUAUUUCCCACCAUAGAAUUCAAUGGGAUGUAGAUUAACAGUGUAUAUUGAUUGUAGUGUGUGCAUUGAUUGUAGUCAUUCAUAUGAGCAUGUAUAAAGCGGAAGUGCAACAUCAGACAAAAUAGAAUUUUAAUUUCCAUUAUAUUAAAUUAAUUUAUGGGCGUCCAAGCACCCCAGUAGCAGAAAGUAGAUAUCUUUUAAUCACAACACCACCUUUGAUAAACUCCUCUUAACAGAAUUGCCUAGUCUCUAUAGGAACUUAGCCAACACUACAACGGUCCCUCUUUAAUCCUUCUUCUUUUCCUUCAAUGGCCCCUUUGGAAUUUUACUCAAAUACUUUGCAUCCAAUUCUGCAUACUGUUUCUUGAUCUCAAUCCAUGCCUUCUCAGAAAAUGAAUCAACAUGGUCCUCAUAUUUCUCGUAGAACACAGGCAGAGAGUGCAGCAAAACGAAGGCUGUUAAAAAGAAAUAUAAAUAUGUCAAGAAGUGUCAACAAACAAGUUCUUACAUUUACAAUUUUCAAACGAUAAUCUAAUUUUAUCCGCAGAAUUCUAUACCUAUGUAGAUCAAGGUCAAGAAGUUGAACCAACUCCCAACAAUGGAAAGAACCCACAAGCCAGCAAUUACCUGACAGCCAUAAAAGCGAUCAUACCACAUAAUUAGCAGCCACAGCAUAUAAUCUCAGUACAUGUUUAAAUGUGCCAAUGCGACUCUAUGAUCCAUUUAUAACAUCUGUAAAUUGGCACAUCAAUCGGGCCAAAAUACUGGAAACUACUUGGAAGCAAACGUGUCCUGAAAGUACAAAUGCCUAGAAAGCAAUAUAUACAAAUCCUCUCUCCAACAAAGACUUCUCCAUUACAAGGUGAAACCACAUUACAAAAUGCAAGCAUUCAACUUACAGUAAGGAACUUCUUCACAUCUUUCCCGGAUGCAAUAACAUGUAAUACGGCCAACGCUCUAUUAGUUUCAAGUCUCAAUGCAGAUGCCACUUCCAGGACACGUUUUUCAGGGAUCACAAUUUCUGGGAUUUCAGGUGGGGACCUAAUUGAAGAACACAAUAAAGCCAGGAUCAGGAGGAAAAAGAAUCACAUCGCUGAAACUGCAGACUGGGGAAAAAAGAAAAAGGAAACUCAACACCUUACUUGUUAAUAAACGUGGAUGCAUUGGACCACAGAAAAAGGAUAGCAAGCGAGAGUAUUGAUAUAUGACAAAUCAGAGUGAUUAAGUGGUAUUCAAGCAAUUCGAAGAGAACCCAGACUGUGGUUGCCGCACCCAGAAUACUUGCAGAAAUUCUAUUGUUCCUCCAGAGAAGAACAUCAGCAGCUAAACCAAAAAAUCUAUAAAUAAUAAGUGUGAGGAAGAAAGAGAAAGAAUUCGGAGAAACAAGAGAUUAUUCUCCCAGGGCUUUUAAUAUGUUAACUAAAUAUCAAUUUCUGCUGCUCUUUCCAAUUCAUGGUACCAUGCUAUAUGGAAAUGUUGAAUGCCAAAAACUACGCCGUUACAAGAUACUCCAAAUUUGUAUUUCUGAUAAUUAAAAUAAGGGCGGAAUAUUAUAUUACAAAAAGAUGCUUAAUGCCAGCAUUCACGUAAUGAUUUUGAAUGAGGAAUUAGCACAAAGGUUAAUUAAUUAAAGUAUGGAAGAAUAUUAGAUUCAUUGGAUGUGAUAGAGAACUUGCUUAAAUUAAUUUAAAUUAUAUUAAAAACCACACAUUGUCGUACGUAAUUCAAUCUAUAUUCAAAUAAAGCUCUAAUUAAUUACUUCAUCAAUCUAAUCACUCACAGAAAAUCUAUGUAUAUAUGAAAUUCAAUUAUCAUAAUUUUAAAUCUCUCCAUCCAAAUGACCAAUCUAUAAUUGAUCAUUAAAGCCAUCAGCAUGUGGUCACAAACUGACAAAUCAUUACAUACCGCUAAUGACAAAACAAUGACGCAUGACACAUGUAAUUCCAAUUCCAAAACAUCUAAUUGCACGAAUGAACGAACCUAGUCUGCUCGAAUUGAAUUUCAAAACUUGCCGCUACUGCACGCUUUAGCCAAGGACACAAAGCAGUAGAAUUCUCAAUAACAUAUAAGUUAAAACUAUACAAAUUCCUGAAAAUCAACAAUCAUUUUUUCUAGCAGCAAAUCGAAUGUCAAGUUAAUUAUCACGAUAGACAAUCUAAAAAAAAAGAAAAAUAAUCAAAUCCCGUGUAGCUACACGCUUUAAAAAAAAGUAAAGGAGAAUCUCAAAAGCAUAUACAAAAAUUAGAAAGAAAAACAGAAUCCUCAUUCAAUAUUUGAUCAUUGAUCAAACACUCAGAAAAAUGAAUUAAAGAACACAAUCGCAAAUGUUUAUAAGACAGCGAGAGAGCAAGAGAGAAGAAUGGUACGUUUUCCACCGCCCAAGACUUUGUGGAUGGGUUUCUCUCUUCCAAAGAGACGAAAUAUCUUCGAUUUGACGGCAUCAACCUUGGAAGGUUUAUCAUCGUCGGAAUCAGAGGAAGAUGAAUCGUGACCGUGGAUCUUCUCGGUGAUCUUAUCCAUUAGCGAUUCAACGACUGAAUGCUCCGCCAUAGAUCUUCGCCGCGAAAAAAAAAACAAGAGAAAUUCGUGUCCCCGUGUGAUAUGAAAAGGUUUGCCAAGCAAUGCAAGGGGAAUUCAGGUUUUCUAGUAUGAGGCUUUGAUGGAGGAAUGGGAGCGAUACGAGAUGAAAUAUGAGCGGUUGAGAGGUUUACAAGUCUGUGCUUGAGGCAUGGAGAACGAACCUUCUUGAUAUGGAAAUAACGGAAAACGAGGAACGUUGCUGGUGUCUGGGGAACAUCGCGAGAGAAUUCAUCCUCACCAACUGUCAUGGCUGUGACCAUCUUCAGCUAAUCAAAAUUUACUACAUACAUCAAUUUUUAUCAUCCAAACUUAAUUAAAGAAUAAUAUUAAUUCUGAGAGGAACAAAAAUAUUAACCCUCCGUCUAUUUCUCAUAUAUAUUUUCUUUAACAUUUAUGCUAUGUUGGGACAAAAUUGUAGAGAGGAAGAAGGAUGGGUGAAAAAAUAAAAAAAUAAAAGAAAAUAAAUUUAUUUUUUAUUUAAAAAUGAAAGAAAUGAAAAAAAUAAAUAACUGAAAAUUGUAAGAUAUUCUUAUUGUGUAACUUACAUUUUUGCUAAUAGUAACGAAAUCAAAUCUAUAAUAAUACAUUUUACUCAAAUCGUCCAUUUAUAUUUUUUAUAAGGGUGGAAUAAAUUAUAUAUAUAUAAUAAAUAAAUUUUAUUCUGUUCAAAAAAAUAAAUAAAUAAAUUUUAUUUUUAUAUCAAUUUAUUUUAUUAAAAAAAUAUGAAUUGUAUCAAACAUUUGUACAUGUGAAAUCCAACCAUCUUUAUAUUUUUUUAAUUAAACUUAUAAUAUUGUCAUAAAAUUGAAUAUAAAUAAGAAUAGUGUUAUAAAGAAAAUCUAAAGAAAAAUUCAUGUUAGAAGUUUCGCUCUAUAAUUUCUUUGUGACUUGAUACUCUCACCUUUUUCUUUUUUUUUAAAUUUAAUUUCUUCUACUCCCUUCCUCAUGGAAGACGAUCUACGUCAAUUGACUAUCGAUGAAUUAAAAAAAUGUUGUUGUCCCUAUUAAGAGUUAUUAAUUUCUUCUACUCCCUUCCUCAUGGAAGACGAUCUACGUCAAUUGACUAUCGAUGAAUUAAAAAAAUGUUGUUGUCCCUAUUAAGAGUUAUUAAUUUCUUCUACUCCCUUCCUCGUGGAAGACGAUCUACGUCAAUUGACUAUCGAUUAAUUAAAAAAAUGUUGUUGUCCCUAUUAAGAGUUACAAAGAUAUUCUGAUCGUCACUUAUGAUUUAUGUAUGGUAGGGAUGUUUCUCACAUACAAUCCAAUCAAUUUUCAAAAUAUGCAGAUGUGACGGUCAGCUGCUUCCAGCUGCCUGCUUGCGGAUUUGCGGCGCAAAUCCGUCCCACAUCGGAAAAUUGAAAGAAAAUUGAUUUAUAUAUAAUAGCUAGCUCAGAACUACUAAAUAACUUAAGCAAAUCCGUCCCACAUCGGAAAAUUGAAAGAAAAUUGAUUUAUAUAUAAUAGCUAGCUCAGAACUACUAAAUAAUUUGGGAUAACCAUUUUGGGCCAAGUGGAAAGUGGGUCUAAAAGUUAUUUGGGCCAGUUUGGGCACGGCUGUUUCAAUUGGUAUCAGAGCCACUCUGGGUCAGAAAAAUUGUGCGGAGCUAGUGGACCUGCGAGGAAAGGGCUACCCGUGAGAGACGAGGUGGAGCCACCCGAGGUACUAGCGAACCACAAUACCUAAGGGUCCGGUUCUGGUUAGCAAUUGUAAUGGAUUCAGUUGCGACGAGGACGUCGCAAAAUUUAGCGGGACCGAGUGUGACGGNNNNNNNNNNNNNNNNNNNNNNNNNNNNNNNNNNNNNNNNNNNNNNNNNNNNNNNNNNNNNNNNNNNNNNNNNNNNNNNNNNNNNNNNNNNNNNNNNNNNNNNNNNNNNNNNNNNNNNNNNNNNNNNNNNNNNNNNNNNNNNNNNNNNNNNNNNNNNNNNNNNNNNNNNNNNNNNNNNNNNNNNNNNNNNNNNNNNNNNNNNNNNNNNNNNNNNNNNNNNNNNNNNNNNNNNNNNNNNNNNNNNNNNNNNNNNNNNNNNNNNNNNNNNNNNNNNNNNNNNNNNNNNNNNNNNNNNNNNNNNNNNNNNNNNNNNNNNNNNNNNNNNNNNNNNNNNNNNNNNNNNNNNNNNNNNNNNNNNNNNNNNNNNNNNNNNNNNNNNNNNNNNNNNNNNNNNNNNNNNNNNNNNNNNNNNNNNNNNNNNNNNNNNNNNNNNNNNNNNNNNNNNNNNNNNNNNNNNNNNNNNNNNNNNNNNNNNNNNNNNNNNNNNNNNNNNNNNNNNNNNNNNNNNNNNNNNNNNNNNNNNNNNNNNNNNNNNNNNNNNNNNNNNNNNNNNNNNNNNNNNNNNNNNNNNNNNNNNNNNNNNNNNNNNNNNNNNNNNNNNNNNNNNNNNNNNNNNNNNNNNNNNNNNNNNNNNNNNNNNNNNNNNNNNNNNNNNNNNNNNNNNNNNNNNNNNNNNNNNNNNNNNNNNNNNNNNNNNNNNNNNNNNNNNNNNNNNNNNNNNNNNNNNNNNNNNNNNNNNNNNNNNNNNNNNNNNNNNNNNNNNNNNNNNNNNNNNNNNNNNNNNNNNNNNNNNNNNNNNNNNNNNNNNNNNNNNNNNNNNNNNNNNNNNNNNNNNNNNNNNNNNNNNNNNNNNNNNNNNNNNNNNNNNNNNNNNNNNNNNNNNNNNNNNNNNNNNNNNNNNNNNNNNNNNNNNNNNNNNNNNNNNNNNNNNNNNNNNNNNNNNNNNNNNNNNNNNNNNNNNNNNNNNNNNNNNNNNNNNNNNNNNNNNNNNNNNNNNNNNNNNNNNNNNNNNNNNNNNNNNNNNNNNNNNNNNNNNNNNNNNNNNNNNNNNNNNNNNNNNNNNNNNNNNNNNNNNNNNNNNNNNNNNNNNNNNNNNNNNNNNNNNNNNNNNNNNNNNNNNNNNNNNNNNNNNNNNNNNNNNNNNNNNNNNNNNNNNNNNNNNNNNNNNNNNNNNNNNNNNNNNNNNNNNNNNNNNNNNNNNNNNNNNNNNNNNNNNNNNNNNNNNNNNNNNNNNNNNNNNNNNNNNNNNNNNNNNNNNNNNNNNNNNNNNNNNNNNNNNNNNNNNNNNNNNNNNNNNNNNNNNNNNNNNNNNNNNNNNNNNNNNNNNNNNNNUUUUUUUUCUCAUUAUCAUUUUUUUCUUUUCUUUUUUUAGCAUCAUUAUAUUCUUUGUUUUUCUUUUUUUGAAGAAAAUAAGAAGACUGAGAAAAAACGAGGGAAAAGAACUAUUUCAUUGACGAAAAAAAUCGAUAAGAAUAUUUUAAUAUAUAUGAAAAAAGAUAAUAACGUUUUAAUAAAUUUUUAAAAAUAUAGGCACUGACUUGUUAAUAAUAAAAAUAUUCAAUAACUAAAGAAGUAAUUUUAUUUGAGGGUGAAAUUAGAUUUUAAAAAUUUUUUUUCUCAUCUUUUAUAUAUUUUUAACGAAAAAGAAAAUACAAUGAGUAUUUCAUUGAUAAAAAGAAAAAAUAAAAAUAUUUUAAUAAAUUUUAAAAAACGAUAGAAAGUGAAUUGUUAAUAAUACAUAAAGAGUGAAUUGUUAAUAAUAACAAUAUCUAAAAAUUAAAUGUGCCUAAUUUAGUUUCUCUCCCAUUUCAAACAAUCUAAAUAACCACAUAGAGUAAUCAGCAACAUUAAAUAAUAAAAAAAUAUUUUUUUCAAAUAAAAAAUUAUAAUAUUUUAAGAAAAAUGAUAUUUUUUUAAUAAGUUAUUUUUUUAUAUCUUUGAGGAUUUUUAUUAAAAUAUUUAUUUAUAAAUUUAUUAAUAUAUUUUAUUUUUAAAUUAAAAUUAAAUAAUAAAAAAUAAAUUAUUUUAUUAGUAAAAAAAAUAUUUUUCAUAUAAAAUAUUUUUCCAAAAAAAUAUUUUUACAUAUAAGUUAUGUUUAAAAAAUAAAUGGAGGUUAAGAAAUCUGUUUGGUUACAAAAUAACUUAUAUUUGAGAAAUUCUUUCUGUAAAAAAUAUUUUUCGUCAAAAUAACUUAAUUUAUAAAUUUAGUUUUAGUUUUAAAAAUAAAAUAUAUUAAAAUUUUUUUUAUAUAAAGAUAUUAAUAAAAUUAGUAGAAUGCAGAAAAUGAAUUUUUUAAAAAUAAUUUAAUUUUUUCUUUAAUUAAAAAAAUACUUUUUAUUUAUUAAUUUUUUUAAAUAUUUCAAAUAUUAAAAAAUAUAAAAAAAUAAUUUUAAAAAAUAAAGACUAAGCCUCCAUUCGUUUCACCAAAAAUAUUUUUCAUAAAAAUACUUUUUAUAUUUUUUAAUAUUUAGAACAUUUGAAAAUUUUAAUCAAUAAAAAAUAUAUUCUGAUCAAAGAAAAAAUUUAAAUUAUUUAAAAAAAAGUUUAUUUUUCAAGAAGUGAAAGUGAUUUUUCAUAUUUUAUUAAAAUUUCUAUAUAUAAAUAGACCUUUUAAUUUCAAUUUUUUUUAAUUUAUAGAAAAAUACUUAUGAAUACAUAAAAUAUAUAUUUUUUUAUUUUUCUUUCUUUCUCAUUUUUUCUUGUCAAUUAGAUAAAGGUUAAUAAUAAUAAUGGUAGCAGUAGGAUAUAGCCCUGGCUCGUGCGUCAUCAACGUGAUUGGUGAAUUUUUCGGGCCAGGGUUUGUUAUUGUCAGACCCAUUCGGGCAUUUGUGAGAAGGAAGUUUAUCAACCGAUCUUCUGGGUCAGUAUCAUUGGGCCACAUCUACAUUGCUAUUAUAUUUAUUUUCUUGAAUUUUCAUUUGAAUGUAGAAUAAUAUAAUUAAUGAAGUUUAAGGAGUAUGAAAAUUAAAAUAAAAGAUAAUUGAUAUAAAAAAAAAAUCUAGUUUAAGUUGCUAAGCUUAUAAUGCAGUAACAUGUUGUUUUGGAGUAGCUAUACUCCUACUAAACUGAAAGACCCCACAAACUGACAAAAUGCUUUUGAGGAAUAAAUAAUUUGACCAACCCUAACAAAAAGUACAAAAGUUCACGUUACGCUACCUAUUGAAUUUAACAGAAGUUUUCAUGGGAACAAAGCUAUCUUACACCUGAAAUUAUUAAAACAAAAAAUGAAAGGAUAAAGAGAAAGCCAGAACCAAAGGAAUACCAAGACAAAAUUAUGAUUCAGGGUGCAGAAUCUUACAAGUUAUGACCUAUGAUGCUCAUCAUACCAUUAUUUAUUUAUUUAUUUUUCAAAUAAUUAAAUGUAACAACAGAGUUGGCUUAAGGCAUUUUUGCUCAAUCAAAGACGUGCAUACCACAAACAAUAAAAAGAUAAAACGCUGUCAAAUCGGCAUUAACGACACCGUUUGGUGAAAAAUGUCCUCUUAAUUUCUUCUGGAUCACGUCCCAGGACAUGACUGUUAUUAUGGAAGUUGUGGUUUGGCAAUCAAAGUUUCCUGACAUUGAAGAAAGUAUCAUGCAAAAUUCACUGGGAGCACUUAAUAAUGACACACAUCUAUUGCGUACCCAGACGAGCUUGUGCCUCUAGAACCUAAAUAGGCAACCAACCAGGCAUUAUUUAAGAUUAAAAAUGAUGGGUACGUUAUUAAUAUUGUAUGCUUGCCCAUGAAUUCUUCCAAGCCUUUUAGGCAUGGAUUCCCUUUGUUUCCACUGGGCUAUCUUUCUUUCUCUGCAGAAUAUUACAAUUUUCCCAAAAAGAGUGUGAAGUUCACCAAGCCAACGUUUACAAGUCAAAGCCUUUAUUUUUGCAAAGACUUGGUCCUCUCUAGGGCUAGGGCUAUGGCCAUGGCCAUAUUAAAAACUGUAUGAUUUAAAGGGGUUUGGACUCAGGAGAGUACUCUCUUUAUAGCUUGGGGUCCAAAAGCAUGACAUGCGUGCCCCCAAGCUACACCAAUGCCUUUGCCUUGUAAAAUAAGCCAAUUUCAGACUUCACUAGCAGAUCUUUUGAGGCCUCUGUGUAAAAGUUAAAGUUCCUUCUCUCUCUCUUUGCACCAAUGUUACAAUGUAAUGUUACUAGUGUGUAAACAUGACAUUACCUUUCCUAUUUUGCUUGGAGUCUUUUCUUUUUGGCCUUUUGCUCUUUCAUUUUGCUUUCUCUUAUCUUUUUGGAAGUUUCCCAUCACCACCCUCCUUACUUUUCAACCCAUGAGUCAAUGACUAUGGCCUCUGCUGAGAAAAAGGAAGCCCUUUCAAUUUCACUUUAAAGCUUUGGACAUCGGAUUUCAAGUUUAACUUUGAAAUCCUACAACCGUCUCUUUAACAAACCACUUGAUUUGAAUACAUUGAUUAUUCAUUUUGAAGGCGCUUGAUUGUUGAUUCCAUCUCUUAUCAUGCAUUCUGAAUUUUAGUUUUAAAAUUUGCAAAUAAUUGCCUAAUUAUAACUAACUCAUUUAUAUUAUAGAAUGAUAAAUUAAAAUAAAUAAAUAAAUAAAUUCAUUCUUACAGAAAAAUUUCAUCAUGUCCCACCGACGACAUAAAAGUUAUUGGACUGAUUUCAAUCCUUUAUGAGUGCAAUCUUGCUUUUAAUCAGGUUUGAAUUUGGCAAUUUGUGUAUUGGAGUUAUUAGAUCAUUGAUUUAAGGUUAAUCUAUUAUUAAAUCUCCAUGUGUUCAAACGAAAAAAAAAAUGAAAAUUAUGGAUUAAACUAUGCAUUCCUUAUUUUAUAAACAAGUUUUUUUAAAAAUAUAAAGAAUAAACCUUAUGCAAAUUAGAAAACAAUAUAAUUUCGUUUUAAAAAUCGCAAAACAAAUUUAGAACAUCUAAAAUUUAUUUGAUUUUCAUUAUUGAAAUUAAACUUUAUAUUAAUAAAUGGUAUUAAAAUUAAUUCAAAAUUAAUCAAUAUAUUUUAGUUAUAAGAAUUUCAAAGCAAUUAAACAUUUUUUAAAAUUUACUUUUCAAUCAAUUCUCCACGUACUUGUUAGAACCGCGUGUGGUACAGCGCGUGGGGCUAAUAAUCAAUCGUAAAAUUCAAAAGCUCUGUUUCUGGGCACUGGGCAAAUUCUGCAACUCUGCCCUCGUAAGUACGUAUUAGUAGAUGCUUUGAACUCACCAGUCACCACCUCUCUUCCUCCAUAGAUAGUCUUAUAAUCUCUCUCAUCUUCUCAGUCUCAGACUGCUAAGCCUGCAUAACAUUUGGGUACAUAUAACAAAAGCAGACCUCUCUCUCUCUCUCUCUCUCUAUACAUUUCAGAAGCAGAAACUAGCUUACUUCACUCUCUCUGCUUCCUAUGAAACGCCAUUUUCAAUGCUGCAACGUUCACAAGCCUAAUACGAUAUGUAAAAGCUAUCUUUAUCUCGUACUCUCCUCACACGUUCUGUCUCUCUCUUUGCUCCCACUAUAAAAACCCUCCUUUCAAAGCCCUAAACAAGUUGCUCACUCCCAUCUCUCUCAGAUCCUCCUCUUUUCUCUCUCUUUUUUCACCAUGGAAGCUCUGUACUUCUUCAAGUUCUGGAGACCCAACAAAAAUUACCUACCCUCUAAUGGAAAUAGUGACACCACCGAGAUGGCAACAACUGGGGUCGAUACAGAUGAUGAGUUAAAUGAAGAGGAAGACUCCUUCUUUGAAUUGGAGUUUACUGUGCCUGAUUUUGACAACAAUAAGUGCGAAAACAAAAACGGCAUCCCACUAGACAGCGAUAGUAACACUUUUGACUCUAAGCAAAAAACUCUCCACAACUCGGCCAACAAAGCCGGCAAUAUCGAGCACAAAUUUCCACCACCAACUGUUUCUCUGUCUCCUACUGAUCUCCUCUCUAAAAGAAAGAUCCUUCCUGUCGAGCCCAUAUCUAAACCUCAGUCUCCCAUCUCCCCCCUUAAAUCAGCUCCAAGUUUUAGAGUCCUCAUGUUCAAGAAAUCAAAGUCAAUGGCAGAGCAUGAAGCAGGAAAAACUGGGGAAGCAGAGUUGAAGGGCGUCUUUGUCGACACUCCAAAGAAUAAAAAGCAAGAAAGCAAGCUUUUCACAGUUAAAUUCAAGCUCAAAGAAGCUGCAAAUGUUCCUAUGUUCACAAGGGAAAAUAGUUUGAGAAAACAGAUCUCAGAUGAUUCAUUCCCUAAUGAUUCAUCAAGGAGAUUCUCCAAGGAAGUGAUACAAAAGUACUUGAAACUAAUCAAGCCCCUGUACAUCAAAGUUUCCAAAAGGCAAAGUAACAAGCCGAAAUUCUCAGGGGAGUUAUCAGCGCCAUCACCGUCAUCUUCUCCAGCAACACUACCUUCUGGUUCGCCGAAGGAGAAACAAGGGAGUAUUCCAGCGGGGAUCCGAGUGGUCUGUAAGCAUCUAGGAAAGAGCAAAUCCGCAUCUGCGGCUACCACAGUUCUGCCAUCAACGGUAACUAGGAGAGAUGAUUCGCUGCUUCUGCAGCAUGAUGGUAUUCAAAGCGCCAUCCUGCAUUGCAAGAGAUCUUUCAAUUCUUAUAGUUCUAGAGGUACAAUUGUUUGUGCUAGUAUUCUUAUUAUUUAAUUGCAAUUAUUUUAAGCCUGAAACUUAAGCAAAUUUCAUUGUCAAGGCCACUAUGGCCAUAAAAAAACUCUCUAUUUGCUUAGUUAUAAAUGCAUGAAAGUUUUAAUCUUUUUUAACUUCGAAUUCGUUUCAGAUUCUUCCUUCUUGUCGCAAUAUGAGGGUGAUACUUUGAAUGAUAAAUCUAUGGAUUCACCGAGAAUUUCCCAUGAAGAGAAAGGAGUUCAUUAGCAUUUUCAAGCCCCAUAUCUCAAUUCUCAGGAGAGGAAAAAGCGGGAAAAUUGCUGUUCUAUGAAACUGAAAGCAAUACAAAGAAAAGAAAUUGAAUGGGGGGCUCUGUUUUUGUUUUGUUCUAAAGAAAAGAGAAAAUGGUUGAAAAAAGAAAAAAAGAACAGAAAGAAUCAAAGUUAUAGGCAGGUAGAUUAGUUUUGUGAUCCUUAGCCAUGGACAUGAUGGUGAGUAAGGACAAAUGGGUUCCCGGUUGUUGUCUGUAAAGUUGAUGGGUCAUUAUGAGUAACUUGAAAGGAAAUCUGAUAUUGGGAUCUUUUAUUUUUUUGCAUCAGAAUACUAUUCUCUGUGCGGUCUUGUAUUCUGCAGUUCAGAUAAUGUUUUCUUAGAAAUAUGGCUUCAAUUUUUCUUAGUGAUCAUUUCUUCAUUUGAAAGCUGAAAUGAAAAUUACUUGACAAGAUGUGCUUUUCAUUACCUUCUAGGACAGAAUCAAGACUGCACAUUCAAAUAUUGAAGGCUAGUACGUGAUACAAUAAAUAAAACUUGGAACUUGGAGAAUUUUCUUCUCUGGAUUAAGUGAAAUAGCUGUUGGUUAUGAUGAUUAUCUGCCGAAAUGCUUUUGAACUUGGAGGUCUCUAAACCAGAACAAGCCCACUAAGUAGGUGGAAUUUAAGUAUGGGAAAUGGGUAAUGAUACCAAAGAUUCUCACUCACAGCUUGUUGAUUCACAAGUACAAGAAACAGAGGGACCUAAUCAAAGAGUUCCAGGUAUCUAAUAAUUUCAUCAAGGCACCAUCUUUGCUUUUAUAAAGCACUGUGGAACAGUAAGAAGCAGUUCAUCUCUGGUAAUUUCAAAGUGUUUUUUUUUUUUUUUUUUUUUUUUUUUUCUAAAAGCACAUCAUGGUAUCGAUUAUAGAUGUUCUCUUGAGUUCCCCUUUGCCCUGGGCAGUGGGCACUGGGAGUCAGCAAUCCCAUCAGCUGACAUAAAAAAAAUGCUUAUUCAAAUUGUCUCCUGGACCCUGGUUCUUGCACCAACUAAUGAUGGACUAAAAAUCUCUGCAAACAACUGUGGUUGAUCGAAUUUCAUAACCAGUUUUUAGGGAUUUUUUUAACUUUUGCUUUGAUUCUUAUAGUGUCACUAUUCCUUGCAAUAAUUAGGUGAAGGAUAGAGUUGUAUUAAAUCUGCUUCUCAAGUCUCCCCUGUCAUUUGCAUAUAUAAUAUGUGAUGUUGGAUGUCUCUUGAAGUAUGUGAUCUGUAAUGGAUCGUGCAGUAAUGAAUUAUUGUUAUCAAAAUAACUUCAAAGGGAUUAGAUAGUUAAACAACUUGUAAGCAAAGAAAAUUGAUGGGCUUGUCGUUGACACUGGACAAUAACAUGCUACAUGUUGCAAAAACAACCAAACUCCUUAUCAAGGACAAUUGUCCUUGCCAUGUCAAAUUUCAAAGGCAUGAAUUUUGAACAGUGAAAAAUCAAAGGCAUAAUAAAUAAUGGGCAGUUGAAAUUAUGGAAUGGUCGAGUCUGGAAGAUGAUAAAUGAGAUGAGGAACAACAGGGGCCAAGACUCUGCAAUCUGCACAGCCAAAUUUCCAAGGCACAAUCAUGAUGACAAGAAAUGCCAAAUGACCAUAAAACAUAACCCCACUUCCCAUUUCAAGUUUUCAACCCUUUACCCCGCAACUGCAAACGCUAUGGCCCCUCUUCAUCACUUGUAGAUGGGUUUUGACAAAUUUUUUUUUAUUAAUUCAAAUUUAAAUAUGAAAUUUCUCAUAAUUUUAAUUAGUGUAUUUUUUUGUAUUGAUAGAACAUAUAUAUUUAUGUUGACGUAUUUUGCUAGCCUCUUAUUCCAUUAUAUUAAUUUUAAAUUAAUAGACUUUAAAAUUAAUAAAAAGUUUAAAUUAAAUCAAAUCGUAUUAAAUGACAAUGAAACCUGUCCUACCUGAUGAUCAAUUGUCAUAGAGAUGGAAACUAAACUGUACCUGCCGCUGGCAAUGUCUACCUUGAAGAAACCAACCAGCUAGCAUUCCAAGAAGCACAUAAUCACACAAAAUAAAAUCAUUGGAAAACUUAUACCUCUGCACCUUCACUCUAACUUUACCUGGAAUCCAUUUUUCUUACAUGAAAACUUCACUGAAAACGCACCCAUAAUUAGGUGGCAAAUACAUGUUCAUUUUCAAGCAAAUAUGGGAUUAUUGAAUUUUAAAUAUAAAUUAUCAAUUAAAUCUACAAAAUUAUAGAUACAUAUUGAGUUUGAAAAAAAACAAAGUUAAUUUAAAUAUUAAAAAUAUUAAUCCAACGUAAGUUUAACUGUUGUAACUUAACGUUGCCAUUCCUACAUGGAUAAUGUGACAUGAGACAAACUUGUUGCCUAAGAUAAAGCUGAUAGCUUACUGUUUUGGAGUCAAAUAACAAAUGGGUUAGUGUAAUGUAUAUGUAAUAUCUGUGUUACUUCAAGACAAGGAUGCUGAAAAGAUGGUUCAUUGACUUGAUUCCAAGUUGUCCGCAUUGUGCUAAUAUUCCAAACAAGCCAUGCCUCAAAUGAGACUCAGCAUAAACUAGCUAAACCCAAUAACAAAGAAGCCCAAACUCAUAACUAAUAACUUCAGUCUAAGCUCGUACGCACGCAGAAGGAGAGGGCCCUUACAACUACCAUCGUCAAGAUCCUCUAAUAGCCAGAAAUAGACAUGCAAACAAGAACUAGGGAGCCUCCACAGUUGAGAUCCAAAGACCAAAUAAUAGAAAACGAGACAGUCACUAGAAAGAAAUAAAUAAAUAGAUCACUAGUAAGAAAAAUCUCUCUCGUUUUAAACUCUCACCUUCAAUGUAAGAAGUUGUUUUUUUUGGUAGGAAAUAUGAUAUUUCACUGUUGAGUUAAAUAUAAUUUUGAAACAAUCAAAAUAUAAAUAAAUCAGACUGAAUGAAAAUAACAAUUUAAAUCUAAUAAAUCACUAAAAAAAAAGCUAAGCAACAAAUUUUUUAAAAAAAAUCAAACCGACUAUUUUUUUGUGUAAUUUGGUUCGAAAUCUUUGAGGCCUGGGCUAAUCCGCAGCUCAAUAAAAUCUGCAUAUGGACAAAUUACACAUUAAUUUAAAUGAAAUUCUAGCUGAAAUUUAUGAAUUGAAUUAGAAAUAAAGCAACGAAAAUUUCUGAAAUCCAACCCUUGCAAAUCAAUUUUCUGAAAAGAAAAAUUGCAUUUUAUUAAAUUACACUAAUGAAUUUUAAUUUACUAAUAUUUGAAUUAUAUUUUUUGAAAGCAAUUAUUGUUAAAACUAUAAUAUUUUAAAUUUAGUAAUAUAUUUUCCUUAAAUUAUUCAAAUAACGAAAGAAUCCAUUGUAUGGGCAAUUAUGAAAUUUAGAUGGAUACAACAAAUUAGUUUUAGGUAUACCCAAUCAUUUUCAAGUUAUUUUCUUAAAGGAAAUAUGUCUUAUAAAUGACUUUGUUAUUUUUUUUUAAAUUUGAAAGAAUCUUAUUAAUAUUAUUGGAAAUUUAAAGCUUAAAAACUAAGAUAUUUUUUUAAAAUUGUUUUUACAUAUAUAAAUUAUUAUACCCGUUCUUUAAUUUUAAAUUAGAACUAAUAUUCUUUUUUGUUUAAAAAAAAAAAACUUGGAAUCUAGACUUUAUGAUAUGAUUAGUGGUUAUAACAUUUAUUAUUCUCAUGCAUUGAGGAGAAGGAAUGAAUUAAAUAACAGAAAAAGAAAUAUUUGGGAUAUUAUUAUAAAUAAAUUUCAAAUAAAGCAUAAAAUAUUUUAUUCGGAAAACAAAGAAGUAAGAAUAAAAUAAUCAGAUAUGUCGAUAUGGGUGGGCCAAUUGGACUAAGUAAUCAAGAGGAGGCGCACCCUGUUUGGUCGUCGCUGCAUCAUCUCUCAACUUCAGCGUUCUCUCUCUUAUAUCUUUUCCUUCCUCGGAGUCCAACAUCUCAGUCACUCGCUCCCUCAACUCGGUUGAACUCACAAAUACUCCCCUAGACUCAGCCAAGGGCAGGGCGACAUUACAUUAAUUUCCUUGACCAGAAAAGCUCUAUUAACUUCUUUUUGCUCCGUAUACAAUUGCCUCCGGUAUCGCAUUCCACCCUCCAUGAGUUAUAAACCUCUCAUAGUGCUCUGGGUAUAGUCAUCCAUUGAGGGCAGUUGCGGCCUCACCACCCAUAAGAAUCGAGCAACACUUGUUUCUUACCCAAUAGCAAUUUCUUUCAACUGCUAGGCGCAGAAUUUUCCCACGCUACCAAAACUAAAAAACACGACAUUUGGAAUCAAUUGCAAGACCAGCCAACUAAGACAAAAGUGUUUGUCUUCAACUCCUCCUCUUCCAUUAUUGAUACGUAUUAGUGGCCCUAGGCAGUGCACAGGAGGCACGGGCUCCCCUUGUGUACAUCGACCAUUUACUAUUGCUUUGGGAGCCCUUUGCUCCAGAGAUUCAAAAUGUCAAUGAUAAGUCUAGCAGAUUUUGGCAUCUUGUUUUCAGUGUCUUUGAAAUAUUAAUAAGCUUUGCUCUCUCGAUCGAGGAUGAGCAUUCGCAUGUUCUAAGCAAAUCAAGAUCUUUCAAACUCUCUGCAGUGAUGUUAUGAAUGAUAAGCAAGUAAAGAAAAGCAGCAAGACCACUGGUAGAACAUGGAAUUAUAUUUCCAAAAGAUGGAAGGAAAUGGUGGGAAAAUUAAGGCAAGAGGAGACUUCAAAAGCGGCGUUAGAAAGGAAAUCAAGAACAAAAGCCUCGAUCUUGGACUUUGAAAGGGCAAAUAGAGCUUGGAGCAGAUUAUUGAUCGUUAAGUUUGACCAUAAAUUCAACCGGUUGAUCGUUUAGUUUAAAUUAUGGUGAGGGAGUCGAUCAAUGAGAGAUUUCCAAAUAAUCUUAAUAAUCCAAAGCAUGAUUUGAUUUGUGCAACAGAAAUGGGGAGUCCACAAUUUCAAACAAAAAAAAAAAAAAGGAAAUGGGGAGUCCAAAUCAAAACAAUUAUAUGCUUUUCUCAGGCUCCACUAAUUUUUCUCCAAUAUGCGAUGCCCACUUUAAUGGGUGGGUCAAACUGAAAAGAACCUACCCCACUAAUUUAUUUAUAACACGCACCAAAAAAAAAAAUCAACAUGAAAAUAAAAAAAUAACAAUUCUAGACGCACAAAAACGAAAGCAGAGAUCAUUUACUCUUCCAUGAUUCCACCAGUUUGGACAAUGCCACACGAGAUGAACCGCCCUCGCUCACGGCUGCCUUGGCUUCGUUUUUCAUAGUAAUGGUUCGCUCCCUAAUCGAGUUACCUGCCUCCGUAUCCAUCAAUUCACGGACCCUCUUCUCCACCUCCACUGCAGUUACAAACCCGUCCUCCGAUUCCUUCAUUGGCAAAGCAAUUUUAAUUUCUUCCACCAACAACAACCUAUUGAACCUUUGCUCUGCGUACAGCGGCCAAGCCACCAUUGGCACUCCUGCAUACACCGCCUCAAGCACUGAAUUCCAUCCACAGUGAGUCACAAAACCGCCCACCGAAUCAUGGUUCAAUACUGCUACCUGUGGAGCCCAUGACUUCACCACAAGUCCUUUCUCCCUGGUACGAUCCAAGAAACCAUCAGGGAGCAAUGACUCUAAAUCUGGAUCCGCCAAUGGUGAGAUGGCUAAGCUUUGAUUAUUAGAUGGCGGAUUACGCACCACCCACAAGAACCUUUGUCCACUUCUCUCCAACCCAAUAGCUAUUUCUGUGAGUUGUUCCUUUGAGAACAGCCCCAAGCUACCAAAACACAAAAAUACAACACUUUGACUUGGUUGAGAAUCAAGCCAGGUUAAACACUCUGGCACGCCAUCACUUUCAUUCUUGGCCGCUAUUAAAGGCCCGAUACAGUAAAGAGGAGGUGUGUUAGUGGUGGGCACACAUAAUCCAUCUGAUAUUGCCUUCACGGCUCUGGCCUCGAGCAACUCAAAAGUGUUUGCGAUAAUUCCUGCGGACUUGGGAAAGGAGGUAGCGAGCUCUAAAAAGUAUUCGUAGGCUUUGUCGUAGCGAUCGAGCGUUGGGCUCGGCAUGUCAGAGGACAAUACAGGUGGAGCACCCGGAACAUGGAGAAAAGUGUUGAGAUCUUUGAAACUUUUGGUAGUGUUUUCAUGAAUGGUCGGAAAAUAAAGUAAGAGAGCAAGACACGCAGCACCUGAAGCAAAGAAGAAAUAACCAGGGAUGUUGAGUUCAGAGGCAACAGAAAGAGAAUCAGCACAAAAGAAAUCCAUAAUUACGGCGUUAAUAGAGUGAGAUUUGGAGAUGGACAGGAGAGCUUGGCGGAGGUGAGGCUUGCUGAGGCGGAUGACCUCAAAGGUGAGGGUUUCAUGAUGAGAGGCUGCUGUGGAAGGGAGGGUGACGGUGGGAAGAUGGUGGAAGGAGAUUGAAGGAACGGCGGCAGCCACUUCAGCAAUAUAAGAGGCAGUGGAGCCGGCACUGUAAGGUGCUGCUGUAAUGAAGAUGUGAAUGGAAAUGGAGGAACGAUGAGAGAGAAUUAACUUGCCUAACUCUACCAUAGAUACCAAGUGACCUACGGCUGGAGUUGAGUAAAGAACUACAGCCUCAUCCAUGGCUGCCUGUUGUGUUUCCUCGGUCUCUAUGAGGAAAGGAAAGAGAUAGAUUUUGAGGGUUGAGCUGCAGGAACGGUAGGCGAUUCGGCCAAAAUUUAUAAUAAGCGUAAAUUAUAUUUUAAUUUUUAAAAUUUUAAUAUAAUUAAUAAAUUAAUCUUUUUAUUUUUAAAAUUAAAUAUCUAAAUUUUUAUAUUUUAUAAUCGUUCAAAUCUGUUAAUUCAAUAAAGAGAGGCUGAUUUUUUUUAUCUCAAAAACAUCUUCUUUUUUUAUUCUAAAUUAAUUUCUAUUUUUUUAUUUUUUAAAACUUUUCUUAAAAAAAUAAAUCUUCUGUCUAUAUACUCUUUAUUGUCAAUCCUAGCUAUUAAAAAUCUUUUUCUAUCCAUGUGGUGGAAAUUUUAUCUAAUGAAAACAUUCAAGACCUUGAAUCUUAAUGUGCUUAAUUUCUUGAAAUCAAAAAUCACAAAUACUGCUAUUUCUUUGGCACGGCAUAAUGCGAACAAAAGUUUUAUUAUUUCUUUAGCGGUGAAUAGUAAAGUGUUGAUUAUUUUCUCAUAUACUUUUUAUAUUAAAUUAAAAUAUUUUUAUAAGUUUAUUCUUUUAAUCACUAAGAAUAUUCGUUCAAUUAGACAUUAAUUUAUUAUUAAAAAAUAUCAAAAAAGCCAAAUUACCUUCAUUCCAAAUAAGUCUCCAAAUUUGACAAUUGAAAAAGAGGUCAAAUCAUACGCAAAACUUUAAAACGUAAAAUAAAGUUUCCAACUAACUUUUUGUCUCCCUUACUAGUUGUUACAAUAACUUUCCAACAAAAGAACAAUGGUGAUUCCAUGUUUGCUCUGUGCUUAGGUGCCUUGUCCAACUUAGAAGCUAGAAUCAUUAACUUCCAAACCAUUAACAAUACCCUUUAUAUUCAAACCUUGCCUAGGAUUGUCUGGUAUUGUGUAGUUUAAAUUUAUGUCAGUAAGCCUUAUAGUUUCAUAGAGGACGCUCGAACUGCACAGCAAUGCCACUGCAGAAUUGGAGUUGUAAGAGUCACUGACGUUCUUCACAUAGAUGUUACUCAGUUUUAUAAGAGAGAGUUACAUGCACACAGACUAAAAAUUAAUCGUGUGUUGCUUGUGAUUUGUGAAGAGUGACGAGAAUUUAUUUUCCUAAACAUAGAUGAUUAAUUAUCUUAAACGAGUCGCAACUAUGUGAAGGACAAUAUUCUUGAUCAGGAUUCGAAACAUUGGUCACGGCAAUAUUUUGGAAAGUAAAGAUAGAAGCUUUGCUUGCUGCAGAUGCUGGCCACGUUGCAAGAGGCAUCCCAUGUGGCUAAGAAUGCCUAUUGAAAAGUAAAAAGACGGAGACAUGGAAGAUCUAUUCAGCUAAGAAAAUUUUUUUUUUUUUCCUAUUUUUAUUUUUUUAAGGCAUUUAAAGAAUUAAAAAAUUUUCUCAUUUUAUUAAGGAGCUAAUAUGAUAGUACUUAACAAUAAAAAAAAUAAAAAUUUAAAUAAAUAUUCUUAAUAAUUGAAGGAAUAAAAUUAUGAAAAUAUUUUAGUUAUAUAAAUUAAAAUUAAAGGGUAUAAUAGUAAUUUACCUUAUAUAAUCUCAUACAGGGGUUAUGGUGAAGAGAACCGCUACAGUGGUCCCGUCCCUUGACGAUUGGACAGUCCACUUAUUUCUAUUUUAUCGGCAUUAAUUAUUACAAUUGAUAUUUUUUUUAUUAUAGUGAUAUUAUAUGUCGUGUGAUUGAGAUCUUUUAUUUAUAUUAAUUUUUUUAAUUAUUUUAAUAUUACGAUUAGACUUUAUUUAAUUUAAUAUAUUUAUCAUCGUGAGUGUUUUUAUUUAAUUAAAGCUAAAGCGAUACACGGUGGCACAUGGAACAUGAAUGUAUUGUAGUUAAAAUAAUUUAUUUUUUGAAGAGAUCUUAUUAUGAUUUGAUAAAAGUUAUAAAAUUAUUAAAUUUUUAGUAAUAAACUAAUUUUUAAAUUUAAUUUUUAUUUAAUAAAAUAAUUUUUUUUUAAAAAAAUUAUAUAUUGAUGUUGAUUAUUGACAAAAAAUUAUAUUUUUUUAAUGACUAAAAUAUCUCUUUAGGUGAUAUAAUUUUUUAAUAAAAAAUUAUUUUUAUUUAUUAUUUAAUAAUAAAAAAUUGAGAAAAUAUUAUUUUAAUUUUUAAAAAUUAAUGAACUUUUGGAUAUUUUUAAUUUUUAAUAUAAACCUAUAUUCUGUAAGUAUUUUUUUAAUCUGUAAUUAAUUUUUAUAAAUAUAUGCCAAUUAUACUUACAAAAUUAUAUUCUAUAAGUAUAUAAAUUAGAGAUUUAAAAAUUAAAGAUCAAUUUUUAUAGUUAAUUAAAAAUUAAAAGUUGAUUUUUAUAUUUAGAUGUUCAUUUAAAUUAAUUUUUAUAAAUAUAAAAAUUUUAUACUUAAUUAAAAAUAAAAAAUUGAGUCCUAUAUGCAUAAAAUUUUAUACUUACAAAAUAUUAAUUUUAUAUUUUAAAAACUAAAAUUAUUUAUUAUGAUAAAAUAUACAAGUUCACACAUUUUUAAUAACUUAUUAAAUUUUUUUAUUGCUAAAAUAACAGAUAAAAAUAACUUUUAUUAAAAAAAAUAUUUAUCAUUUAGGGAUAAAAAUAACUUUUUAAUAGAAUGACUAUUUUAUUAGAUGAAAAUUAAAAUUAGAGAUUAAUUUAUUAUUAAAAAUUUAAUGAAGGUGAAUUUUUUCAAACUUUAAGAAAAUCACAAUAAAUAACCCUAAUUUUUAGGUUAUCUUUUCUCCUGAAUCCUUCUUCCUUCGUCCUUAUUUAAUGCUCCAUUAGUAAUUGUUUGAUGGAAGCAGCGUUGCUUUCUGGGGAAAAAAACACAAAAAUCUUAUAUUAGUUUCUACAAUACCUUAUAAAAAUGUCUAAAAGAAAUAAAUAAUAGUAUUUAAGUUUCAUAAAUUAGUAGAAAUCAUCAAUUUUAAAAUUCAAAAAGAAACCACCGUAUAACAAUCACAAUUGGAGCAUAUGAAACUAACUACUAAAGAAGUAUGAGAAGUAGAUUUCUUGUUUAAUAUGGAGUAUUUAUAAAAAUAUGAGUACUAAUAGAAUUUUUUUAUUUACAACCGGUUAAUUGAGUCUCCACUAAAUCGUACCUUGUUAUUGUUUGUUAUAAUUAUUUUAUUUUAAAAGUUUAAUAAUUAAUUUCUUUUAAUUUUAAUCGUUAAUAUUUAUAAAAAAAUUUAAAUCACUUCUAAUAUAAAGAGAUUAAUUAAAUAAUUUUUUUAAAAUUUAAAAAAUUAAUUAAUAAAUUUUUUAAAACCACAGAAAUUAAAUAAUAAAAUAUUUAAUAAAAAAAAUAAUUAAAAAUUAAUUAAUUGAGUUUUUAAACACCAAAUACGAUUUAAUAUAUUUUUUAAAAUUAAAAAAUUAAUUAAAAAUUUUUUUUAUAUAAUAAAAAUAAAAUAAUAAUUUUACUUUUUUUUAACUAUGAGAGGCAUUGUAAUUAGGCUGUCACAUAUUAGUUGAAAAAUAUAUUUUUUAUUUUAUUUUUUUUCAGAUAUGCAAAUUGGAUUGCAUUAAAAGUCGAGAAGUACAGCUGAUUGUAGAUCCAAAACUGGUCCUGAAACGAAACAAAAAGCCCACAUUCCAGGCCAAAGCCCAAACAUAACCUAGUCCAGUUCACGAUUCUGGAACAAUUCACUGCUUUGUUCCUCCACCGCCACGUCCCGCACCUAGGCACUGACAUACAACAAAUCAGAAAAGACCACCUGUAUCACAAAUUCAGAUUUUAACACCUGCUCAAACUAUGGGCACUCAAUUGCAACUCUUUUCAAAUCAAGUAAAUCAAUAAAUUUAGAACGUAUAUCUACGCAGUAGAAUAUUGAAGUUAAAAUUUUCCAUCCUAUUCUUAUAAAAAAAUUGGAAUAAAUCAUAAAUAUAUCAAACAUGACAAUUCACUUUGAGAUUUAAUGAAUGGACUGCUUAUUUUAUUUACAAGACAAAAUACUCAUUAUACAAUUAUAACAACGAUCAUCUCACAACUUGUAAAUAGGGAGAGUGAUAAUCUACAAAGAGUGAAAAUACUAUUUAGGGACUCAAAAAGCCUAUAAUAGCCAGUUGGGUUCAAUCCUCACUAGUGGUCAUUUAGUCACUCACCCUUAAAGAGCCUUAAAAAUAAAUAAAAUUGUGGUGGGAAGAGAUAUCAAUAUAUUUAGGAUGACACUCCCUCUUAACAAAUAAAUAAAAAGGAAUUAUAAAGAUUUGUCGCAGCGUUUUUGAUACUACUAUUUUAUACUUAUUUUCCCCAAUAUUACUUUUCAGAAAUUACAAUGUUGAGAAAAUUAUAUUUUUGUACUCCAAAACUCUAGGCCUUUGAUACUCUCCCACUUAAAUGGUCGACGUCCUCGUCGACUGAGUGUGACAAAGGUCUUUAGUCUUUGCUCGAAUAUUUGACUCUGUCUUCCCUGUAACGAUCCGAAAAUCGGAUCGUUACCGGCGCUAGGAUCCAGAUCGACUUAAGGUCGCCGGGACCCGUAGCAAGCCUACUAUACAUCCUGUACAUCUGAUAAAAUCUCAUACAUGAUCAACAUUUCAUAAAAACUUUAAAUUUUUCAUGUACAAAGCUUGACCUGUGCAUGCACCAUAACUUUAUACAUACAAACCCCAUACUAGAGCCCUCAUCAAAUGCUCUAGUUGGGUCAACAUUACAUACAUCAAGCUUGGUUCAACAUAUAUCAUCAUUAAAACAUUUACAUAAAGAUCAUGUACAACAGGGAUUAACAAUACAUUAGGGCCAAGCACAAUACUAAUCAUCAUUACAUUGCCUUACAUUACAUUACAUUACAUUAUUUUACAUAUCAUGUCCACUACUAAACUAUUACAUCAUGCUAUACCAGAACUCUGAUGACUCUCCCAUAGCUACAUGUGCUCCUACAACCCUGGGGGUUAGGAAAAAGGGGUGAGCUACUAAAGCCCAGUGAGCAGAAUAAUAAAAACAGUUUAUAAACAUAUGCCAUCAUGAAAUGCAUCACAUCACAAACAAUUCACAUCACGGAUGGACUUGUCAUCAAUAACCCUCUACAUAGUCCAAUUGUGCCAGGGGCGUAGAAUGGGCCUCACUGGUCUUUCUCUUAACAUAACAUAACAUAUCCAAUGUGCCAGGGGCGUAGAAUGGGCCUCACUGGACUUCCAUACCGUAUCAUAACAUGUCAUAUCGAGGGCUAGUAGGUCAUCCAAUAUCCAUCCACAUCAACAUCAUAUUAUGCAAUGCACCAUAUUCGUGAAUUUCUAAUGCAAACAACCUAGUACAUAUCAUGGCAUUCAUGAUGCAUGAACAUGCUAAAAAUUCCAUUUACUUUAAAACAUAGUUCAGUUCUACUCACCUCUGGCUGACUCUGAAACAGCUAGCACUGCUGACCUCCUCGGUUCCUCGGGUCCGAUCCUACAUAGGUGGACUCAAAUGAGGGACCAAACAUACUCUGACAUUACUCUAAACAUCUCCCCAAAAACCCCCUAAAACAUUAUAAAACAUGCAUAAAAACAUGCAAAAGAAGGCUGGGCAGGGGACUUUCGGCGGCCGAAGGUCCCUACAGAGCCGAAAGUCAGGCACUUUCGGGGGCAGGGUUCGGCGGCCGAAAGUCCUUCCAGAGCCGAAAGUCACCAUCCUUCGGGGGCAGGUUCGGCGACUGAAACUCUCCUCUAGAGCAGAAAGUCCAACUUUCGGGGGCGAGUUUAGGCGGCCUAAAGCUGCCUCCACAGGCAGGUUCGGCGGCUGAACAUGGCUUCGGCAGCCGAACUUGGGUUCUCCAGAAUGGCAGAACCCGAUUCCGCCUCACGCAUCCCAACUUUCCAACAUGCAUUCAACUACUCUAAAACAUGCAUAAACACUUAUUCAAGCAUAUAGGGGCAUAAAACUAGCCUAAACCCCAACAAACAUCAACAUGGCAUCACAUAAACAUACAUUUAUCAUUUAACUAACAUAAACCCUAACAUUUUACAUCUACUCUAAACAUGCAUUAAACACCCUUAAAAUCCCUCAAAACUUACUUAAAACAUAAAAGAAGGUGAGGAUCUACACUUACCUCUUGAAGAUCGAGAGGAGAUGCGAUCCCAAACUUGGAGAUAUAGAGGAACGAGCUCCGGGGGUCUCCAAGCUUCAAAACUAUCUUGAAGGAUUUGAGGAGGAAACACAAGAUCAACAUGGGGGUGGCGGAGACUCACCUUGUCCGGAAAUGGAGAGAGAAAACUCGCCCAUUUUCGGACAGGGGGCCUUUUAUAGGUGGCUGGCCAGACCACCUUCGGAGGCCAGUGCCUCAGCAACUCCACCAUGUUCGGCUACCGAACUUGAGGUUCGGAGGCCGAACUUGGGUUUCUCCUCCAAAACAUUUUCUUUUAAAAUUCAAUUUUAUUUCUUCAUUAAAACCAUAAAAACAUAUAAAACAUUUUAGAAAACCUUUAUUUUACCCUUCUAGAAGGCUCCGACAUUCAAGAAAUCCCGGAUUCUAACGGAGAUUCCGCCGGAAGGUAGGAUUCUCGGUGCCGGGGUCUAGCCGGGUAUUACAUUCUUCCCCCCUUAAGAACAUUCGUCCCCGAAUGUUCAACAAACAAGCAUAGAUGGAGUUCUAUAAGAAUGAUUCUUAGCAUCAUAGUUAUUGUUUAACAGACUAUUUGAUCUCGAAAGUUUUGUUCUUGUCGAAAUUUGUCUUGUUGAUUGGAUUUUUGUAACUUCAGUCUUCUACAAAAAGUGACUGGAGGUUGGUAUUCAAUCUUCAAUACGAACUCACUAAGUGAUACAGAUCCAAUAGGGCAAAUUUCUAACAAUGGUGUGGAGCAAACUUAUGUCAUUCAAAUGGAUCUAAAAGGAGUUCAAAAUCAUAUUCAUAUGAUCCAUAUAUAUUUGGGGCGUGCUUCAACUCAUAUGGGACAGAUUUGGUGCAACACUUACAAUCAUAGGCUUAGGGAGCCUAAUCAAACCUAUGGGCUAAAACUACACAAAGAGAAGCCUAAAGUGAAGAUCAAGUAAGGCUUUUGUGAAGAUUCAGCUUUGUUAUGAUGGGCUUGCUAUAUUUUUAUUAUUUAACACUUGUUUUAUUUUAGUUUUGUUUGGGCUUGUAUUCUGGCCAUACUUUAUCUUUUAAGUUUUAGAGUGUUGGGCUAUGUUUUGGGCUUAUGUUUUAAUACUUAUGUGUUAUUUUAGUGUGUGAUUGGGCUUGGGCCUUAUGUGUUUAAGUCAGGUCCAAGAAGAAUGUCUUAGGGUUUUAUUUGUUUUUCUCCUUACUAUAUAAGGAUAAGAAACAAUUGUAAGACGCAGCUUUUUAAUCAAAAUUUCAGAAUUCUUUUCAUACUUUUGGCGUGUAUUGCUUUGAGUGAGAGUGAGGAUUUGCUUUCAUCAAUUGCACCAGGAAUUUUGGCUAACUUAUCAACUAUUCGUUGUGGCGUUUGUCAGAUUCUCAUCUAAAUCCUUCGAUCAUUGGUGUUUCAGCUUCUCCAAGUUUGGGGUGCCAUAGGAGGUGAGUUUAUCAAAUCUUUGGAUUCCAUAUCUACUUGUGCGUGUGGGUUUGAGGCUUAUGCCAUAGGGUUCCGCGUCAGUAAGGUUAUAAAUUCUUUUGCUGAUACUGUUGUUGCCUACUUCUAGGUGAUAGAUGAUUCUGCAACAUCUCCCUUAACAGCUGGUAAGUACCUAUGGGUAGGUUAUUGCACCAACCCUACGACUUCGAGCUUGUCCUCGCCAUCUCCUUCAUGUAUUUCCUCCUUCCAUCUCUCCAAGUUCAAGUUCUCUUUCACUCUUCUACCUUUAUUUCCAUAGCCUUCACACAUUAUCACAAACUUUCAUGGUGCGUAAGAUGUUAGAAAUGAUUAAUUUGCACUAAGCUCAAAGGAAACUCAUCAAUAACAAGGUUAUAUUCAAACAACUAGCAACCAAACUCUACAAAAACAAAAUUAAAUAAUAACAUUCUAUUAGUUAUUCAACCAGUUCACUGCAUUUACUUCCUAACACUAGAAAAAAAUACUUUUAUGUGAAAUAAAAAAAUAGAAAUAGAGCAUAAAAUUUUUAAUUUAAAUUCUACUACCAAGUGGUUUUCAAAAGUAAAUCAUAACAAUAAAUAGAUAACAACUAACUCAUCCAUUCACUUAUUCCUGUUAGUACUCCGCACACAGUUUUGGGAGUUGUUAUUUUGUGGGCGACACUUUAGACAAUCUCACUUCAGACUCUUCGACUCCUCCUCGUGGAAAUACAACAUGUUUCCUCCUCCAACAUCACAAGACAAUUUACGGCAGGAAUAGGAAUCACUCGCGCAGCUCGAAAAAAUUGUAUUCCAAUUACCACUUUAAAGUCAUUAAAGGGAGUUACUGUGAAAUCCCUUUCAUAAGCUCAACUGACAAGAUACACCGAAUGCCACUCCCAUCAUGUCCAAAGCCUUGGAGUUGACCGCCUUCACCUUUCCACCAUUUUUUUGCACCAUCAACUUCAACCUUGUUGCUAAGGUAUCUGCCAUAAAGUUAUCAGUAGCUCCUGUAUCCACCAAGGCCUCUAUUUCCUCUCCAUUAAUCCAUAUAUCUACGUACAUCAACCAUGGACUCCAUGGUAAGCUCCAUAUCUUACUUUUCCACAGCUUCCAUGCAGCGCAACGCACCUAACUUGUGCAGAUCUUCGAUU
rnacentral:lncRNA from 1 species